rnacentral:lncRNA from 1 species
AAAAGUACAACAAGAAGUAACAGAAAUAGCACAAGAAAGAUCCAUGAUUUUGGAAAAGGAUUUAGAGAAAAUGAAUUAUCUUAAAGCCAUCAUCAAGGAGACCUUACGUUUGCAUACACCAGUUCCACUACUUGUUCCUCGAGAAUCAACACAAGAUGUGAAAGUAAUGGGUUACGACAUUCCAGCUGGCACACAAGCGAUUGUGAAUGCUUGGGCGAUAGGAAGAGAUCCUACCUUAUGGGAAGAACCAGAGGAGUUUAGGCCUGAAAGGUUCUUCAACUCUUCCACAGAUUACAAAGGGCUUCACUUUGAGUUUCUUCCAUUUGGUGGUGGACGAAGAGGGUGCCCUGGGAUUCAAUUCGCUAUAGUCAUCAUUGAAUUAGCAUUAGCAAAUGUGAUAUACAAGUUCGAUUUGGCAUUACCAGAUGAAGUAAAAGGAAAGGAUUUGGACAUGAGUGAGAAGUAUGGCCUUGUAGUCCAUAAGAAAUCUCCUUUAAUUGUUGUGGCAACUUCCCUUUUUCUAGUAGUUGCCUGUAGUAUGUAACUUUCAAUGAUGAUAAUACUGAAUAUAUGUUUCAUGAUCGAUGUAAUAACCGAAGAGGUGUCUAGCUUUAAACACAAAUCCUUUUAAAUUUAAGAUAUGAUUGAUUUUCCAAAAUCAUACAUUAUUUUUUUUUUGGAACAUCCUAACAUGUUAUGAUUUAGAUGUUAAUUUAGUUUUACAAUUAAAUUGAUCAAACACAUACUAUGAGAGGAGAUUAUUCGUUGUUCUUAAUUUCUUUCUUGGACAAUCAUUAUUAUAUGCAUGAGGAACACAAAUCACGGUUUAUUGAUCCAAAGAACAUGACUAUAACUUAACACUAACAACUUCCAUGACCUUUAUAGCAAAUUGGUCAUAAUUGGUUGCCUAAAUAUGUCAUUAUACGAUUUAGAAAGGCACAAGAACAUUAAUAUAAUACGUAUAAAUACAUUUUUCAAAGCCGAUAAGUUUCAACAUUACACUUCCCAACUGGUCUCUGUACGCAACUCUCUAAGAAACAUGAGAACUUACUGUUCCUCAUCCUCACCAUGGGCUCGUAGAGCCCAUAGUGAAGAACCCGAACUCGAUGCAGAUGGCAUCGAGCCGGGUUGGGGCACAUGUGUUGGCCCGAAUAAGGUACUAAAAGGCCAAGGAAGAGACAAAUGCCUCAGAUUUCUCUCAUCCCUAUCUUCACUAUCACCCGACCUGUUUGCCUCUUGGUCGGGUCUUGUUUCAUUAGAAGGUAACUCAAACCUACAAACAGGACAUGAGCUAUGAAGCUCUAACCAUGGCAGAAUACAUUUGGUAUGAAACUUAUGUUUACACGGCAAUUCUUGGCUUCAUUUACAACUUCAAAAUCAUCCAAACAAAUCAACCAUUAAACCGAAUUUUCAUUGAUUUAUAUAGUUGGCAUUGCUUCCACUGCAUCGUUUUUGUGUGGGUCAGGUUCCGUGUCUAUUUAGGUCAAUUUUAGACAAAUGUUGUAGUAAUUCGUCUAAUAUGGGGCCCGAAAAAUAGUCACCUAAAGAACCAAUUGGAUGGAUCCCACCAUCGCUGCCUUGAACAACUAUUUUAUGAUUAAAAGGAUUAAUCAAAAUAACAUGUUCCCGAUCAUGAUCACGAUCACGUUCUUGUGAUGUAUUGUUUUCAGAUCUGGAUCGAACACCUUGGAGGAGGUGGAGGAUGGUGGCGGAGCUCCGACCCUGCCUCCUCACGAUAGACUCAAACUCACGGCCCAAAUCAGAGUCUCCACCCUCCUGGAAGUUGUAGCUUCGGUGGCAGCCUUCUUCCUCGUUAUCAUCAUCAAAGUUGACGUGGAAAAUAUCCGGCGACGGUGUGGGUUUUUCAUCAUGCUGAGAAAGACCGGAGGCCAUAAUGACUGACCACGAUCAGGAACAUCUUGAAGGUUGUAGUGGUGGUGGUUGCUUGUGACACUAUCCAUUUCCUCCAUGAAUUCACCAUGACAACUCGAACACUUGAUUGUUAGCACUUCUAUGAUCGAGACUACGAGCCUAUUACAUUUAUGACACGGGUAUCUUGUUGACUCUCUAUCUUCAUCCAUAUCUUACUUUCAGAAAUCAGAAUCAAGCUCUGUUAUCAAUCACACUCAAGAUCAGCAACCACGAAGUAGAAAAAAUUUGGGUUUGUUAAUUCAAACAUAUUAUUACAGAUCAAAGUAUAUAAAACCCUAGAGACCCUUGAUCUGAGAUUUACAAAGAUAGAAUUCUACUGGUAGUUAACAAGAAAAAUAGAUCUUCAAAACGUAAUUUAGCCAGAUCCAGGAAGUCAAAUUUCUUGGUAAAGAUUUGUAUAAUCUAUACAUGAAGAAUCUGAAAGCUUCUAAAUUUCAAUUCCUUUGUAAACCUAACCAACAUGGAUCGAAACUGACUCAGAUAAGAAAGAGAAAGAGAAACAAUUACCAAUAUCAGCAGACGAAAUCUGGUGUGUUGGAAAGAUGCAAUCAAAGACGUUUAUGUUGGAAAGCUGCAAUCAAAGACGUUGGUGGUGGGAAUCUGAAUGGGUAUGUCAGGUAGGUCAUAUGAAUUGUAGGAGUUGUCUGUUGUACUCACUCCUUUGCAUGAAACUAUCAAACUUCAAGUACCACUGUCUUGGAGCUUGCUUCAAUCUAUAUGGAAUUUUCUUCGGUUUGCACACCAUAUUUUCUUUACUAACUGUGGGAAAACCCUAUGGUGGUGUCAUGUAGAUGUCUCCUUCCUCUUUGUGAAAGGAACCUUCCUCUGUUUACCCAAAACACAUGGCUCAUGGAAAUCAAUUGUCACAGUCUACAGAUCUGGUAUUCUUCCUUUGGAGGCUAGCAUCUUCAUUCCCUUCUCACUCAUAUGUCUAAGUCUCUAGUGUCAUAGAAUUGAUAUCCCAACUUCUUCAAUAGCAUGUGCUUCAGCAUCAUAAACUUCAACCAUUAAAGUGUACCCUGCUUUUGACCUCUAGCAACAACUAAGUUUCCCUUUGUCACUUUCCACUAAUGAUCACCAAAUGUAACAUAGUGACCUUCAUCAUCAAGCUACCCUAAUAAUAUUAACAUUCUCUUCAAGACUUGAAUAAACAUGAUAUUCUUCAAAGUCCACUUUGUACCCCAAGUCGUCUUGAGGACCACAUCCCUAACUCCAGUAAUAUCUAGGAUCUUAUUGUCUGCUAAUAUGACUUUCCCUUUGUACUGCUUGAAAUUCUGCAUUACUUCUCUAGCAUGACAAGCAUGAAAAGACGCACCAGAAUCCAUGAUCUAGGAUUUCGUUGAUUUUUUUGACACAACAAAUGAGUGCAUCAUCUUCAGAAUCUACUGUCAUAUUCACUUCCUUCUUUCCUUUAUCUGCCAAAGGCUUUGGGCACUGAUUUUUGAAAUGACAUUUCUCUUUGCAGUUCCAACAGAUAAUAUAAUUUUUGUUCUUCGAUUGACCUCUCUUUCUUGACUUCGAUCUUCCUCUACCACUGCUUCCUCUACCAAACAUUGUUCUUUCAUUGAAAAUGUUGUAAGAAACAUUCUUUGCCAAGGACAACCAACCUUAAUACACUAAAACCCUAUGGAUCUAACAGAUCCCAUUACUCCUGUUCCAACACAUUUGGUUUCCUUUCGGAUAAUGGUAGAUGUAACUUCUUUUGGUAGAGAUCAUCUUUGAUUUGCAAUUUCUAGAAAACAAAAUCUUGACCAUCGAAUUUUUCGAUCUUAACUUUCUCAUAUUCAACCAUAGCUCUGAUACUAGUUUGUUGGGUAUUCAACAAAACAAGUUAAGCAACUUCAGACAAAACGAUAAAUGAUUUCGGUAACACUCACGGAAUAAAACUCCAAAAAAAAAACUAUAAACCAAAAAUGAACACAAUACUUAAAGUGGUUCGGUCUAAUCUGACCUAUGUCCACUGACGAACGAGAGAGAGAGAGAGAGAGAGAGAGAGAGAGAGAGAGAGAGAGAGAGAGAGAGAGAGAGAGAAAGGAUUUUUUAUAACCAAGAAAAUUACAAUGAUACAAGGCUACAUUACACUUGUAACCUGAUUACUCACUGUAAGUUACCACUCAUAUUUUUUUGCCUGCCAACCAAAAGGCUCUACACAAAAUAAACUACCAUACUUUCAAUUUUCUAUCUGGUGUUUUUUUUUCUCAUACUUAUUUGACAAAACAUCAAAAAAAGGCCCCUGUGGUUUUUCCGGAAAUCUGAAGUUUAGUCCCUAAUUUAUAAAAACCUCACAAAUGGUCCCCGUGGUUUAAAAACUUUUAACAAAUGGUCAUUUUCGCUAACUCCAUUAGCAUUUAACCGUUAAGUGAAGGGCGUUUCUAUCAUUUCACAACCACAUGGAUCAUUUAUGUAGUUUUUCCUUUUUUUAAAAAAUAUAGUUAUUUAAUAUUAAAGUGCCCCACUCUCUCUCUCUCUCUCUCUCUCUAUGUGUGUGUAUUUGUGUGAAGCGGUGGUGGGAAUUUCAUCUUCUUUCUUCGUCACCAUUUACACCUUCGACGAGUUUCUUGUUGGAGAAGAAGAACGUUGUCAUAAAAAAAUCAAACCCUACACUCAAAAAUGGGAACCAUCCUCCAUGGCCACCAUCGACGAACUAACUCUCACAACGAUGUUCUUUCUCAGAUCCCCGACUAUGAACCAAUCAAUUCCAGUCGAGAUAACCAAGUAUUUCUCUAAAUCCAUAGUCGGAUUAAAAACCCAUGAUGAACUCGCCAUCAAUUCUUGAUCAACAAAAAAACAAUAAAACAAUUCAAGAUUUUCGGAGUUCUUCGUCGUUUCCGGUGGUGUUCAUGAUAUGUGUCCAUUGUCCUUUUUAGCGGUUCCCGUUGGAGCUGAAACAAAUCUUCAAAACUAAAAAACCAUAAAACUGGUUUGGAUCUAAUGCCUUCGGCAGAUCUACAAGCUCCUUCGUUGAAGAUGAAAACCUCUUUGAAUUGGAUUUGGAUGUGUCUCCUUUGGUGAUUUCAUCGCCUUCACCUUCAUCUCCUUUGGGUGUCUGUACACGGUCUCACCCAGCCACCACCAAGUUUCAGCUCCACCAUGCCACAGUCAACAUCCUUUACCGAAAUCCCCUCAAUCGUGCCUCAAGUUCAUCCCAAAAUUCAUGUAACCGUUUUUCCCUCUUCCCAUUAUGUUUUAGUUCCCAAAUUUUCCUCCACUAUCGACGGGAUGAAAGGUUGGGAGUGUUUAUUUGAUGGCAAAGGUGAUGUCGGCGAGCUCUAAGAUGGUUAAGAACAUAUAGCUUCAUAUUUUUGCAGAUGGGGUCAUAAACUGGGUAUGGAUGAGAGAGAGAGAGAGAGAGAGGGGGUGGGGUCCUUUAAUAUUAAAUAAUUAUAUUUUUUUCUUUUUUUUUUAAAUAAGGCAAAACUUCAUCAAUGGUCCCUAUGGUUGUGAAAUGACAGAAAUGCUCUUCACCUAACGGCUAAAUGCUAACAGAGUUAGCAAAAAGGACCAUUUGUUAAACGUUUUGAAACUACAGGGACCAUCUAUGAGGUUUUUACAAAUUAAGGACCAAACUUCAGAUUUCCGAAAACCACAGGGACCAUUUUUGAAGUUUUGUCUACUUAUUUGUUGAAGCACUCAUAUUAUCUGCUAAAGUCAAAUAAAUGAUAAAGACAAAUUUCUAUAAAAAAGGACAUAAGUACGUACAACACUAAGGCUACCUGGUAUCGGAGCGUUUUCACGUGUCUUGGGCUGAGGUGGCAGCCUCCCCCACGUGUGAACACCGCCCCCAUGUCCGGUGGGUUGCGUGUGGCGUGAGGCGAAAGACAGACAAAGACGAGAUCGUUGAUUGGCCAUUCAAAGUUCGAACGUUAUGCGGACCGUUUGAGCAUUAAAAAAAAUUAUUUUUUAAAAUUCUCUAUAUAUACAUCCACUUUAUCAAUAAUUUCUACUAAACCACACCCACAUUUUUUCAAAAGAAACACACACAUUAAACCAAAAAAAUUGAUAAUUUUCCACCUCCGAUUUCUUCGUCUUUCGAUGAUAAUGAUUCUGAUGAAGAUGUGAAUUUGUAUACGCUGUUAUCCGCGACACGAGACGUGGUACGUGAGAGGGGCGAAAGUUCAAACGUCGAGAAGAAGCAUAGAAAAUGGAUCAACCGGGAUCGAGAGGUGGCACACGAACUUUUGGUACGUGAUUAUUUUGCCGUUGAUAGUUUAUAUGAUCUAUCAAAAUUCGAAGAACGUUUUCGUAUUAGUAGAAAUUUAUUUUUACAUAUAGCUAGAGAUUUGACACGUAAUUAUGAAUUUUUUCAAUUGCGAUGGGAUGCUAGAGGUGAACGUGGUUUUACUACGAUACAAAAAUGUACGGCCGCUCUUAGACAACUGGCAUACGACAUCGCCGCAGACGCAUCAGAUGAGUAUCUAAAAAGGACUGAAAGGACGGAUAGAGAGUGUACAUAUUUAUUUUGUGAGUAUGUCAUAGAGCUUUACCGUGCCAUAUACUUGCGACAUCCGACUAAAAGCGAUGUCGAACCGUUGUAUGUCGCGCAUCAAGCGAAAUAUGGUUUUCCAGGGAUGCUUGGAAGCAUUGAUUGUACACAUUGGGAGUGGGAAAAUUGUCCCAAUGCGUGGCUUGGCCAGUUCACGUGAGGUGAUCAUGGGGUGUCGACUGUUAUUUUGGAGGCGGUGGUUUCAAAUGACCUAUACUUUUGGCAUGCAUUCUUUGGUAUGGUCGGACUUGAAUGUGCUCUAAGCGUCUCCGAUGUUUAACAAUAUUUUACAGGAUAAAGCACCAGAAAUGCCAUAUGUUCUCAAUGGAAAUGAAUACAAAUAUGGGUAUUACCUAGGUGAUGGGAUAUAUCCAGAAUACGCUACAUUUGUCAAGUCAUACACAUUUCCGGCCGACGAUAAACGGAAAAUGUUCAAGUUAGCACAAAAAUCUACAAAGAAGGAUGUAGAACGGGCGUUUGGAGUCCUCAAACAAAAGUGACACAUAAUCAAACAUCCGACAUGAACAUGAGACAGAGAAAAAUUAAGGACGGUGUUGACGGCUUGUGUUAUUUUACAUAACAUGAUAAUAGAAGAAGAUGGUAGGGCUAUUUGCUCAUAUACCACAAACGAUAUACUUAACCCACUUGCAGUAACACAAGUUGACGGUCCGACAUACUUCUCGAGGGUUUUGGAAAUACAAAACCAUGAAACACAUCACAAUCUACGACAUGAUUUGAUCGAAUACAUAUGAGAAUGGCAAUUUCAAGGGCAAAAUGACAGUGAAGACGACGAUGAUGACGAUGGUGACGAUGAGGAGGAAGACAAUGGUGGCGACGUGGCGGGUGAUACCGGUGACGACAACGACGAUGAUUAGAAUUUUUCUAAGUUUUUUUAUGUUUUUUAAUUUUUAUUUUAUUUAGAAAAUGUAAUGUUUAAUUUUACUAAUUUUCGUUUUAAAUUUCUAUGUUUUAAUUAAUGAAAUGUGCUUUUAUUUUUUUAUGUUUUAAAAAAUUAAUGCAUAUUAUAAAUUAUGCUUUUUAAUUAAUAUAAUGUUCAAAAAAUUAAAAGAAUAAAAAAAAUAAUUUGUGGAGUGGUAACCAUUUCCAAUCUUUAGUGGGUUGGUGACCGCUACUCAUAGCCUAAAAGGCUACUGGCUAUUUGACUUUAAGACUUCAACCAUUCUUCAACUUCAUUAAACACGUUAACCUAGGUAAAGUGAAUUGAUUAUUAUGUCAAGUUACACUUUUGACCCUUGAACUUUGAGUGAUUUGUCUUUUAUGGUUCUACUAAACCUAACUUUAGGAGGUAAACUCAUACUUCAUUCCCUUAAAAAAAACUUAGAGUGACCUUUUAAAACAAAUGCGAUAAAGUCAUAUGGCUAAUAUGAUAUUUUCUCAUUUUUUUAACUAACUAAAUAAUAUUUAAUUUUAAUAUUUAACAUAUAAACUUAAAAUUAAAAUCCAAAUAUGACGAAAAUUACAUAAAUAAAAAUAAAACAUUCAAAAACAUACAUAAUUCAAACAUAAAAUUAAUAUUCAUCCUCGAUGACUUCGUUUUGGUAUAAUUGCUUCGUAAACUCUUGUCCAAAAAAAUUGGCACGUUUCAAUAGAUUGCAUUUUGAGAGCUCUUUCCAUGAGUUCGUCUUAUUCCAACACUUCUGGUUUUCUUUCGGAUAAUGGUAAAUGUAACUUCUUCUGGUAGAGAUAAUCUUUGAUUUCCAUUUUCCAAAAAACGAAAUCUUGACCAUUGAAUUUUUCGAUCUUAACUUUCUCAUCUUCAACCAUAGCUCUGAUACCGUUUUUUUGGACAUUCAACAAAACAAAUUAGUGACUUUAGGCAAAAUGAUAAAUGAUUUCGGUAACACUCACAAAAUAAAACUACAAAAAACUCCAAGCCAAAAAUGAACACAAUAUUUAAAGUGGUUCAGUCUAAUCUGACCUACAUCCACUCGCGCGCGUAUAUAUAUAUAGAGAGAGAGAGAGAGAGAGAGAGAGAUUUUCUUGUCACCAAGAAAAUUACAAUCAUACAAGACUAAAUUCACCUGAUCACUCACUGAAAGGUACCAAUCAUAUUUUUUUGCCUGCCAACCAAAAGGCUCUGCACAAAAUAAACUACCUUACUUUCAGUUUUCUAUUUGAUGUUUUUUCUCAUACUUAUUUGUUUGAAGCACUCAUAUUUGUAUAUAAGUUUUACCUGUCAAAGUCAAAUAAAUAAUAAAGAUAAAUUUCUAUCAAACAAAGGAUAUAAAUAGGAUACAAGACUAAAGUCUACUAGCUAUUUGAUUUUAAGACUUCAUUAAACAUCUUCAUCUAAUUCAAGUACAUUGAAUUGAUUAUUAUGUCAAGUUACACUUUCCACCCUUGAAAUUUGGGUGACUUGUCUUUCAUGGCUCUACUAAACCCAAUUUUAGCAGGUAAAUUCAUACUUCAUUCUCUUAAAUUAAAAAUAAAAAUAAAAAUACAAAAAAAAAACCUUAGAAUGACCCUUUAAAACAAAUGCGGUAAAUUUGUUAGGCUAAUAUGACAUUUUUUUCAUUUUUUUUAACUAACCAUAUAAUAUUUAAUUUUAAUAAUUUAACAUACAAACUAAAAUUAAAAUGCAAAUAAUAUGAAAAUUACAUAAAUAAAAAUAGAAUUUACCAAAAAAGAUAUAAUUCAAACAUAAAAUUACUAUUCGUCCUCAACGACGUCAUUUUGGUAUAAAUGCUCUGUAAAGUCUUGUACCAAAAUUUGGCACGUUUCAACAGAUUGUACUUUGAGAUCUCUUGCCAUGUAUUCAUCAUCUGUACAUGGAAAUGAAUUAUUGCGGACGAUUAAUUAACCGCAUAAGCCUUAAAUCAUAUGUGCAAAUAGCACGUCCUACUGGCUCAACCGCCAUACUAUGUAAUAUCUUAAAAGUGUAUAUUAUGUUGUGUAUCUUAUCGUCAUCCUAUAGUCGUGUAGUGUUUCUAUACAUGUCAUUUCUUCUUAAUUAAUGCACCAAACUCCCACCUUAAAUAUGUCCUUCAUAGAAGAUUCUUUCCUUUUUGUGAUUUUUUUAAUCUCGUACUAACCGAUACUCAUUCACAAGAGUAGCGUAAUUAGGGUAUAUCAUAUCAAAAAGGUAGUAGCCAUAUUUGUAUUCUCUUCCAUUCACUAUCACAAACAUAGUAGGUUCUUACCCGAUCAGAAUAUCGUUGAAAAUCGGGGAAUUACUAAGAACGUUUAUCUCAUUGUUGGACACUACUACCCCUAUCAACUCAUGUCAAAUCCACAAUCAUUAGACGCAUCAACUUCUAGUAUCAAAGAUGGUGCACCUAUAUCACCUUGGGUAAAUUUACUUCGCCAUAUAUUUAGACAAUUUCCUACUCCCGAAGCAUACAGUCAAGUAGGGAUGAGCAAAGGAACCGAACCUGCUUUUAACGACCAUAAAAAUUCAAGCCAAUUUAAACUUUUCAAAACAACCCAAUUUCAUUAAGUUAUUACAAAAAGGUUUUCAAUACAUUUAACAUCGGAGUAUCCCCAGAACCAUAUCAUAAAACAAGAACAUGAGGAGCGGUACGAUCACGCAUUUGCCUUGCCAUGAUCUCCUGAAGUACCUGAAACAUUUUAAACCACAACUUUAAGCCCGAAAGCGUAGUGAGAUUCCCCCAAAAUACCAACCACAUAUACCAUACACGUAACAUGCCAUAUCGCAACAGAACACAAAAUACCCAUGCACUUCGGGUCUAUUGUGUGACUGGUCCGCCGCACCGGGCCUACAGUCCACCUGGUCCACCCUCCGAGUCUAACCAUAUACCUCGAGUCUAUAGUGUGAUUGGUCCGCCCGCACCGGGCCUUUAAUCCACCUGGCCCACUCUCUGAGUCUAUAGUAUGACUGGUCCGCCCGCACCGGGCCUUCAGUCGGCCUGGUUCCCUCUCCGAGCCUCGGUACGUCUGGUCCGCCCUCUUGGGGCCUACAACCUAUUCGGACUGCUUGCUAGGCCUUCGGGAUAACCGGUCCGCCCUGGGUAUGUUGGCUUAUAGCACGAAGCAGGACCCGCCUCAACCCAACCCCAGUCAAACAACCAUGUGCACAUAAACAUAAUAAUCAUAUAACAAUUCACAACAAACCAACCAAUCUAGCAGAUCACAUACGUAGCACAUCCCUACCAGGAUUCCGAACUAGUCGGUCACUAGCAUAGCAUCAUCCUAUAAACCAGGAUACCGACCCUAACCAGGUCUCUAACAUAUACCAUCCUAACUACCAGGAUGCAAACAUAACAAAGCAAUAACAUAACCAACAACUACUCGGAUUUCCAUCUGAUAAAGGUCGGCCUUUGUGCCGUAGACCCUGUCGAUAUAGUGAGGAUAACUCACCUCGCAACUGCCGAAACUCUGAACUGAAGAUGCAGAUUCCCGAAUCACAGCCUCACCAAAAAUCCCGAACUAUCCGAAGCAGCAAAACAAUCAUUAGUCCAAGCACAAUAUCCUUCCAAGGGUAAAUUGACCAGUUCACCCUUAACUCAAUCUGGUCCACGACUAAGGCCCAUAAUAAAAAUAUGAAAGGCUCAACACUAGGUAAGCUCUCAAGCCCACUAGUGGCCCAAAGACCAAAAGUCCGAAGCAAAACCCAAUAUUGGCCCAAUUUACUAAAUUGGGCCCACCUCACCAAAUGGGCCUAGAUCCAAGGUCCAUAAUAAUUAGUGAGUCCAAAAUACUCCAUCCAUAAUGUCCAGUUACGGCCCAAGCUCUAAUAGUCCAAUAACAGCCAAAUCUCUUAAGGCCCAAAAUGAAAACCCAACAGAGGGAGUAUGCUGGGCGUACUCUCCUUGGUACACUGGGCAUACAACGAUGCUCACGAAUUGGGAUCGGGGCACAAACCCACUACGCUGGGCGUACUUCCCAUUUACGCGGGGCGUAACUCCGCUGAACUACAACUUCUCAUAAGAUCUUAAUGGCUUAAGCUCUUAAGCCCAAACUUCAGAUCCAUAGACCAAAUAUGCCUAGGAUUCAUAAAGUCUCAAACUUUAUUACUUGGGACGUCCAUAAAGCUCUUAAUCCAAGGUAUUAAUCCAUUAAGACCUAUCUAUAUCACAUAUGAGACAACCAAAGCCCUUGGGACCUCAUUUUUCUUACUCAAGACCUCUCCUAAGGUCUAAAAGGACAGCUAAUCUCAACCAACUCGAAUCAUGCAUCAAGAUGAGGUUUUUGGGACAAGAAUGAUGUCAAAACUUCCCAACACAUAGAUCUACACAUUAUGAUUGCCAAGCCAGAGACUUUUUUACCUCAAAAGGGCCUCAGAAGAUGAUGUCUUUCCAGAUCUACAAGCUCCAGCCAUUCAACUCCUUCUUUGACAACUUCCUCUUUCUUCUUCUAGACUCUCCUUUGCCAAACAAGCUUUCCAAGGUCAAACACACCCAACAAUGGAGGUAGAACGGCUAUCCAGGGCUUUUGAGGAUGAGAGAGUGUUUAUGGAGGCUAGUGUUGGAACUAUUAUGUUCCUUAUAUAGUGGCUGGCCCAAAAUUUAGGGUUUCUGAAUGAUAGGCGUACGCUGGGCGUACAUCCAGUACGUUGGGCGUACGUCAAAAGACCCCCUCGUUCCUUUCCUUCGUUACGAUGGGCGUACCCAGCCAAACACAUGCAUGCAUGCUUGGCAUGUAUGGGACCCCUUUGCUAAACUUCCCCCUUAGGGACCAUUGCUGCCAAUAUCUUUAAUUUACAACAUUUCCUCCAUCAUAAGUCCGUUCUUGUCAACUCUAUAUCCACAUUAAGGACCGAAACGCCCUUACUCUUGAUCUCGGGAACCCAUAAAUAGAUAAAUCAAGAACGGGGUGUUACAAUUCUCCCCCACUUAAAUUAGGCUUCGUCCUCGAAGCCUACUGCAACAUACACUUCAGAACAUCCCCUGCACUACAGACUCCGAUUACUCAAUCAACUCAGGUUCUUGCAAUCUUACCACUGCAUCUUCUCUAUCAUGGUCCCCAGGUCCUUGGCCUCUGAUUGAAAUCUUUUAUAUCGACCUCAGCACCGGUCCAAACUACUCCCGAGUUUGUUAACCUGCUGUCUUACCUUCCUUUGUUCCAAAUCUCCAAUCUGGAGCCACUAACCUCCUCCUUUUCCAAGGAGACUGAAAAUAUGACUGUUCAUCACUCAAAAUUGCCACUACCUCAACGAGCAGCCAACCCGUAGGUGCUUCCGUAUAUCUGGUACAAUCCAGCACCUCCUACUAAUGUUUGGGGCACGACGGUCAUCCAUUUACUCCAUUCCCUCCCUUAACGGAGGACCCACACUCCUUCCGGAGCUACAUACCUUUUUCUUUACAGGAAAUCCACUCAACAACCCUCACAUGCCUGCGCGUGCCACUGAGCUAAACUCCACUCUACACUAUCCAUGUAGAGUAACUGCUAUCCUCGGACUUCUCCUACUCUGAUUCUACUCGCAAGGACUCUCGGGUCCAUGCACUUCCUUCCACUAACAUGAUCAAUACUUGGGGCCAGACCAUAUCAAUUACCAUAUCCUGGCGACAUAUGCUCUCAUUCUCCUCAAAUUGUUCCACUAACACAUACAGAGUCUUCAGCAUGACUGGACCGCCUUACCAGGCCUUCAGCCUAUCUGGACCACUCUCAGAACCUUCAGCAUGUCUGGACCGCCCUCCGGGCCUUCAACUUGUCUGGACCAUUCCCCGAGCCUUCGGCCUGACUGGCAUGCCUUCCGACCUUUAGUCUUCCCGGACCGCUCAAACUAUCAUACAUCAUUCCAACUAUCCUUCCAGAGAAUCUUUCCCGUACAUACUGUUCUAGCCCCCUAGGGGUUCCGAACUCUCGUUCCGAUCCUGGAAUCCUUUUCAUGGCCUAAACCCAGGCCUCACCUCAACCACUAUCUUUCAUGAACCCAUGGUCUACUCCCUGCCCCAUUGGUAUGUCACUUACUCACACCAGCCCACACUCUUGGCUCUUGGCUGACUAAAACACUGUCGAAUCUCAACGGCUAAUAAACCUCAAUACUUGCCGAUCCUCCUGAGAAUUUUCCAAUUCUCCCCACUUAGAGCACUGACUACCAACCACUGGUGACCUGACUGGCAUCCCUUAAACGUUCUUACUCAACAAUUCUAUUUUACUUGAACUAAAUCAAAACGAGCAACCUCCACAAAAUCUCUUUCCCGGCAUCACACAUCUCGAUCUCUAAGGGAGUUCAACUCUUCGCUGAAUACUUCUCAAAUCGCAAUUGAUAUACCCGACAACAAGACCAUACAACCAAAUUCUGACCAACAAUCCCUUGAAUACUAACCGAUUUCGACCCCCAAGUACCGAUUCCUCAAUAAUACAAUAAACCCGAAAAAAAAUCGAACGAAUGCAAUACCAUGAGUCAUGCGAACAAGACAAGCAUAUAUAAUACUUCAUAACAACCAUAAGAUAACAAGAUAUCAAGAAGGAAACAUACCCGCAGCUGAAUCCGGAUCUACCCUGACCUCCUCUGCUAUAAGUUGAAAAGCACGACCCUGAGCCCUCGGGGGCUCUGCUCCACCCUGACCUCCACCCGUAAUCCUCAAAGUGGCCGGUGCUGGAGCCUGCACCGGUCCUGCAGCAAGCUGCGGACAGUUGGCCCUCAAGUGACCAACCUGAUGACACUGAUAACAAAUCCCUAUAUCCUGAACCGGGGCUGACUUAUGACAAUCCCUCGCAUAGUGCCCCUCUCUCCCGCAUUUGCGGCACACACCAUCGGACCUACAAACUCCGGUGUGACCCUUCCCGCACUUCCCACAAGUGUGGCUGCCCUAAUCUCCCAACCUAGAAUCAACGGUCUUGGACCGUUUCGGUGCUGGCUGCGACUGCACCAGGGCCUGCCUCUGCUCUCUCAACUGCAACUCAAUCUCCAACUCAUGCCGCCUGGCGGCCUACUGCAACUCCAACAAGGUCUCGCACCGCUGCAUAGACACAAACUGCCUGAUAUCCCUCUUGAGCAUACUUAGAUAUCAGGACGUCUGAGCCUGAUCCGAAGCAAACUCCGGGAAAAGCAUCACCCUCUCAGUGAACAUCCUGGUGAUCUCCGUCACCGACUCUGAAUCCUGCUUUAGUUCCAAGAACUCCUGAGCCAACCUCUCUCUUUCUCUCAACCCGUGGAACAUAACGAGUACUGAACAUCUCCCGGAAUUGGUCCCACGAAACUGCAACGCUCCAUGCAUCCGAAUAUGACCCCGUAGUCAACCUCCACCAAUCCUUCGCCCCAAGCCUCAAUAGUUUUAGAGCACAUCUCACCCUCUGAUAAGUAGGGCAUGAACAUGUGAAGAAACAUCCCUCCACAUCUGACAACCAUCGCAUAGCAACAAUCGGAUCCUGAACCCCAUCGAAGGUAGGGGUCUUUGUAUUAUCGAAGUCCCGAUACUGAAAACCUCUACCGGCUCCUCCCCCUGCCGCUGCUACNNNNNNNNNNNNNNNNNNNNNNNNNNNNNNNNNNNNNNUGUUGGAUUAAUGUCUAAGUCCAUAACUAUAAUUGGUAAGACUUGACCCGACUCGGCAUGGUCCAUUUGGGUUGCAUGGCAUCAUGCAUUUGGAUAGACUAUAAUGAGAGAAAUAAAACUUAAGGUUUGUUAAUAUAUUAUAAGUUCUAAUAUAUUAAUAAGGUUAUUUAAUUAGUAUUGAUCAAGAAUUAAUUUGGAAUUAAUUAAGUGAUCAAAAGGAGACUAAUUAAAUAUAUGGGUUGAUUGUGUAAAUCAUUCAUUCUUAUAUAUGUGGGCUUGUGAUCCAAGAUUCCUUAUGUUGAACUAAGUCCAUGGGGUGACCCAUGGAUACUCCAUGGAGGUUAAAAUCUAUGGAGCAUAAGGAAUGGGUAAAGUUAUGAGUUACAUGGUGUAACCCUAAUAUCCACCAUAUAAAAGAAUCCCAUGGCUCAAGAAAUUGUGCACUAUGUGUGUGUGUGUGAGGGCUAAACGAUUUCACGGAGUGUUCAAGUUUCUCUCAAGUUAUUGCAAGUGUAUUUGGUGUUGUGUGAACCAUUUGAGGUGUCACACUUGAGGCACUAGGCACUCAAGCUUCAUGAAGACUUUCUACAUGAAAGAGGUAUGUAUUCUAUCUUGUUAUAUUCAUUGUUUUGUAUGCUAGAUUAGGAUAAUACCUUGGAUGUUCAUAUUUGUAUGUAUAAUAGAGAAAACAUAGAUCCAAGGUAUUUAGGGUUGCAUGUACACUUAGGAGUGUUAGAAUGCUCAAAACCCAACAGUGGUAUCAGAGCCUCGGGUUGUUUUCUUGUUAUACUUGCAAAUGGAGCUGAAAAAUCGAGUUGUGAUGCUGUCAGCCCAGCAGACUCGCCGAGUCCAUGAAGGGACUCGACGAGUCCAAGGCAAAAUUCAUCCAACUCGCCGAGUUAUGUUCAUGCACUCGACGAGUUGGACCCCAGACAGCAUAUUUUCGAGGUUUUUGGCUAGAAAUGGACUAGGAACAUUACCCUACGUUGUUUUUGAACUUAUAAACUUGUUUUUGAAGUGGUAAUGUUCAUGCUAAUCCAUUUUCAAAGAUAAUUGUCAAUAGAUUCAUGUUUUGUAUUAGUUUAAGGUUUAGACUAAUUACAUGAAAAAGUUUGAUUUGAAUUAUCUUGUUCUUAUGAGUUGCUUAGAUUAAUAGAAAAGUUAAUUGAAAUAGUUGUUUUCAAUCCAUUUUAAUCUAAGAGUUGAGUACAAAAUGUGUUUGUGUAACUUGUCCUCAAGUUACAUGAAGAGUCACAUUAAAGACUCAUAAAACUCAUAAAAGUUGGUAAUGGUUACAAAAUGAAGAGUCUUGUGUCAUUGAAUUUUUUUUUAUGACUCCAUAACUUGUCCUCAAGUUAUGGAAGUUCAAGAGUCACUUCAUUAAAGAAAAAUAUGUAACCAUAAUUAAAUCCAUAAGUUAUAAAAUAAAGAAAAAGUUAGUUCUUUUAUUAGUUUAAAGUCUUCCAUAACUUGUCCUCAAGUUAUGGAACUUGAAGAGUUUUUGGAUUAAAACUACUUUAAACACAUAAGUUAUGGAAUUAAUUAGUUUUGAAUAGUUUCAAAACUUGCCCUCAAGUUUUGGAAUUUGAAAAGUUUUCACUUAUGAAUACUUUAAUUCCAAGUUAGCCCUUAGAAUUUUAAAAAUUAAAAUUCAACCCUUAUACUUUAUAAUAUUAUAAGUUAAUAAUAUAUAUAUGUAUAAGAGUAAAGUCAGUCUUACCGCUAGUACGCCUCAUUCACGAAGCCGGUCUAUAAGGUGGGUAUAAGGUUGUUGCCUAUAAAAUGGCAACUUAAUGGGUGUCCACUCUCACCCACCGCUUGCUUGACUGGUGGAGGGUCGUUAGCCGAACGGGUUUGACAGGACUAGAAUUCUCCCUUCAUUAAAAGUAUUAAUGAUAAUACUAAGUAACUAAACUCUUAAUAAUACCCAAUCUUAGUUACUUAGGAAAAAUGUGAAUAAGGUGCUAAUCCAUGAAAUUACACUUUGCACUUUGUUUAAGUCGUUAGUGGAGCGUGUGUGGUUAACCGGCACACUAACUUGGACUUAACAAGGUAGGUAAAGGGUGACUUAAUAUUUAUCAUAGUAUCGAUGGAGCGUGUGUGGUUAACCGGCACAUCGAUUGAGGGGUAAUUUAUUAAGGGUACCAAGUGAUUUGCAUGGUUACUUCACACCUUGUUUUGUGAUCCUCGGCAUCCCAGUCACAAAACCUGAAGGGCACACUCGAGAUUGAAACAUGCCUUUGAAAAGUUCAAUGAAUCUCAAAGAUCUAGGAGUUUCAAAACCAAUUAAAACCUAAUAAUACAUUUCGUUUAUCUUGGUGGAAAUUGGUGAAUCGUCAUUCACCUACCUUCAAAUAUUUUAUAGCUUGGAUUACGGCAUACCUCUUCUAAGUUAUAAAAUAGUUUGUUGGGUCCUAGCCUUAAUAUUUCAUAUUGGGUGUCAUAUUAAGGACUUUAAAUCAACUAUCUUGAAUAUCUCCCAAAAGAUGUCUGGUUUAGACACCUAUGAUCUUCCCAAAUCUCUUGAAACAAGGUUUCCUAAUGAAGAUGAUGUCCCAUGGAUAUCAUACUUCUUCACCUCUUCAAAUUAUUCUCCCUAACCCACAAGUUCUUGAAAAGUUUAAGGUCACUCAGGCCCUAUUGGCAAGGCAAGGUCUAGGUGUGGUCACAUCUUGGAGAUGUAGUCACAUAUUGACAAGCCGGGAGAGUUGGGUGUCAAAGUCUUGAGAAAGUUGGUGGUUCAACUACUUUCUAAGUCACAUAGUGAGUUCUUUUGGAACACCUAUGAAAAAGACUAUGACAAGACCCUUAAUGAUCUUAUCUAUUUGUUAAGAUCAACUUCCUAAAACUUUAUGGACAUUGACAAUGAUGACAUUGGAUAUCCAGUAAAGCAUUCUCUUCCCAAUGGAAAGGGAUCGGCUAUAGUCAACUCGGUUGACCAAAUGGUAAAGAGAAAAGCUAAGUCUGUGAUAGUCCUGUGUACCAUUAUCAAAGGGUCCAUAUGUUUGUAUUGCCAAAGAAAGGGCAUUGGUUGCGAAGCUGCCAAAUUUACCUAAGGAUGUUAAAGUCAAUAAGUUUGACUCUACUUCAGGUAAAAUCCACUAUCUAACUCUGUUAAGUUUCUAUUCUGAGAUUCUUGAUACAUGAUGUGACUGGGUCGCAUGGUGAUGGUUUAAGAAUCAAAGGAAAGUGAAGAAACUUAAAGGAAGAAUAUGCUGAAUCUGAUCGCAUAGAUGGAUUUCUAUCGCAUAGUUUGAAAAAUCGGAUUCUUGAGCUACUUCUUAGGAGUUAUGAGAUAUUGCUUAGGAAUAGAUAACAACAAGUUUUCAUAUGGAUUGUAAGGAUAGUUUUUCCGCAAAGUUUUAAAAUAAAAGGAAAUUUUUGAUUUUAUUUAUUUUAAAAUAUCCUUACAAUGGCAUCUGUGGAAAUUUUUGUUGCUUAUAAGAUUCCAUUAGUAGCAAGAGUGGAAGUAUGAAAUUGAUUCUUUCAUUUGUGGUAAUGUCUAAAUUUACCAAAUAAGGAAAGAUUCUCAUCACCCAAGUUUCAAUUGGACCGGAACUUGGAAUCAUGCAAGUUGUAUAGCAUGAUGAAUGAGAACUUUCAAGUUUUGGAAAAUUAAGACUAAUUACUUGUUCACAUGGAUGUGUGAGUCAAGUAAAGGACUUAGGGAUCGAGUACACAUUCUUGUGCACUGAUUAAGUCCACCACUAAAGAUCGAUAAGAAGAAUCAAAUAAGGCAGAAGGAUAAAAGUUUCUCAAAUCUGAAAAGAUGGGAGAGUACUUUAGUAUCAGUUUUGUGAUCAUCUUAAUGAUUAAGAAACCAUAUCAAAAUUAGUUCUCUAAGGAAAUCUUAGUGCAUUCUUAUGACUAAGAAGAGGAACUUGAAUUGUUGAAAUGGUUAAAUCAAGAAGAUGAGUCAUACUUCGUUCCAAUACAAGUCUUAGAGUCAUACUCCAAGAUUGUCAUUUGAGUGACAUGUCUUAAAGAAGGUUUAAAACACUUGUCAAAUGUAAGAGUAAAAGUUUUCUACUCUUGUACAUUUGAAAUUGGUAAGUUGUGAUGUUUUGGAUAAAACAAAGACCAACUUAGGCCAAUUGGGUAAAGUGUUUUUCUUGAUUAGAAUCCGCACUAUCUCUUGGAUGUUUGACAAGGGAGUCUUAUAUGUCAAGAGGACAGUGGGAGUCUUAAAGGUCUUGAAAGUCUCAAGAAAUAAUCAAGAAUAAAACCUAAAGUUCUUCACUAGCACACGACUUGAGGUUCAUAACCUAUCGUGUUGACAUAUUCUGUGCCCAUUCCAGUUAAAGUUGGUUUUGCAUAUGAGUUCUUAGAGUUCUCAAUUUGUUGCACAACAACUUGGAAGCAAUGGCAGGCCCUUGAGCUGCCAGGUGGCAAGAAGUUAAGAUUGAGUUCAAUCCAUAUGGUUUUGGAUUUGUCAUUAUCUUUGUCUUGUGAUUAUGGUUUGACAAAUUCAUAUGGGUAGGAACUCAUACACCAUAUAAAUCUAAGUGUCAUAAGGUUUCUCUCCGAUUCAUGAAAAUGAUGGUGAGGAAACGCUUUCACUAAGUAGAUUUUACGAAGAUAUCAAUUGUGUUAUUUGCAUUUUCAAAAGUCGUUAGUGGAGCGCGUGUGGUUAACCGGCACACUAACAUGGACUUGUGAGAAAUGGCAAAUGCCUAAGCAAUUGAGACCAUGAUUACGGUAUCCCUUUUCAUGGUUCUUGAAAUUGCUUAGACACACAGGUGAGCUAUCUACGGAAAGGGUGUAUGAAUCUAAAUUUCAGACUGUCCAGCUGAUUUCUGAGUACAUGUCAAAGCUAGUGGGAGCAUAAGUGUUAUGCUAAUAAUCAUCAUGUUAGUGGGAGCAUGAUAAUUAUGAUAAGUAUUGCAAGUUAGCAAUGUUAAUUAUAGAAAACAAAAGUUUCAAUUGGGAAAAAGUUGUUUUGCUAUAAUUAAGGGAGAGGAAAUUAUGCUUCAUCUCAAAUCUAUAAGCUUAGAUCGUGAGGUUUUAAUCAUUUAGUCAAGGAUAUAUAUGAAUUUCAUGUUGGAAUGGCUCAACAUAAGGAAAUUCUGUAUAUGGGUCCAUUAUUUGCGUUCUAAAAUUCGAUUAUGAUUACGGCAUCCCUUUUCAUAAUCUGAAUUAUGAGAACUUGGCAAAUUGAAAUGGAAAUAUUAUAGCAAAAGACUGGUUUAGUCUUUAUGUAAGACAUCAUGAAUCGUGUCCCAUAUGCUUCGGAUAUAGGAUCGAUUACAUGUGCUAUAUUCAUCCGUUCUAAAAUUUUCCAAAUGCCUGGGGCAUUAAGAAGGGAAAAGGUUUAGAACUGGAUAUGACUAAAAGGAUUAAACAAUUGUCGAGGACAAUCUAAGGUUUACCAAAGAUUGGUUACUCAAGGACAAUUGGAAGUAUAGUGAUAAUUCUGGAAGGACCAUAUUGACAUAAUCUGUAAGGAGGCAACUCUUGUUCAGAAGUGAUAGUCAAAAUGGAAUCUGGAAAUGUUUCAAAGUUAGAAUUUUCAAUCUGUGUAAGAUUAAGGAAACUUAAUGCAAGAAGGAUAUUUCCAAGGAGUUGAUCUCCUUUGGAAUACUCUGUAAUGAUUGUUGCCAAGUCUUUGUGACUUUGUGCAUAAUCAUUACAAGAGGAUCAAUGCAUAUAAGUUUAGAAUCUAACAGAUUUCAGUAAAUGGCAUGAAUUUGGAAUUCUUGCAUUUGCAGUAAGGAUUUGGGAGUGUGAAAAGAGAAUCAUUGAAGUUAUGUUCAAUUGAUCUAGUUCACAAAGUAAAGAUCAUAGACAAACAUAGUAUGCAUACUUGGUGUGUGGCAUGACUAGUGUUUAAGAAAACAUAGUGUACAUGCUUGGAGCAUGGGACAACUAUUGUUUUAAAUUCAAGAAUAAAGUUGAUAGCUGAAACAGUAUACAAUGAAUAAUGUGUAAUCAUAUGGUGAUAAAUAAAAGGUGUUUUAUUUAUGUUCAAAGGGUUGAUACCAUAUUGGAUUCAAUUAUUAUUGUGUUUCAUUUUGCAUGUUUUGACUUCCCGAAUAAACUGGGUUAUUCUUCCGGAAUGACUAAGUUAUUCAAACCAUCCACAGUCGGUCAUAUGUUGGAAGUAGAUAUGAAUUAAGACUGUCAUGGGUUGGCUUGUAGAGGUCUAAGGUGUUGGACAAAGGGCUACAACACUCAUGAGUGCUCAUAAGUUCUGAGUAUUGGAUUCAACCCGCGCUCAUUGGAAUCACUUCAUGGAUUUUAUCACGAGUGAUCAUGAGACGAUAAUAUCUUAUAUUCUUCAAACCUAGAGAUAUGAGUUGUUACUAUGAGUUGAUAGUACAUUGAUUGCACGAAAACGCAUUUGGUAACUCGGUGCUAUAAAACGUGCCUUUGUGUAUGAUUCAACAAGUAGUAGAACAAGCCAUAUGAGUCGAAGUUUAUCCAUUCCUUUUACCUUCGGGAUAAAAGCGAUAUCUGUGGGCCCCUCGAUGAUUUGAUGAUGACAAAUGGAAGUGCUCGGCCGGGCCAGGACUGAUUUGAUUUGUUCAAUUAGUCAGUCGUCAUAAAUCGGAAAUCGGGAAACAACAAAUGGACAGAGAGAAUGAUUAUAAUCCAUGUCUCAGUCCAUAUGAUAUCUAGAAUGGAGGAAUAUAUGAUCCCUUAUCUAAUGGACAAGUCAUUGACAAAGGUCAGAGUUCAUCUACAAGGUCAGAGUUCGACAGAAGCUUUUGAGAGCUACGAUUGCCAGUUGGUUCCUGAAGUCAUACGCAAUAAUAGUUUUAGACUUAUCCAAGUGGGAGACUGUUGGAUUAAUGUCUAAGUCCAUAACUAUAAUUGGUAAGACUUGACCCGACCCGGCAUGGUCCAUUUGGGUUGCAUACCAUCAUGCACUUGGAUAGACUAUAAUGAGAGAAAUAAGACACUUAUGGUUAUUAAUAUAUUAUAAGUUCUAGUAUAUUAAUAAUAAGAAUAAUAAGAUUAUUUAAUUAGUAUUGAUCAAGAAUUAAUCUAGGAUUAAUUAAGUGAUCAAAAGAAGACUAAUUAAAUAUAUGGGUUGAUUGUGUAAAUCAUCCAUACUUGUAUAGUGGGCUAAUGCUCCAUGGAUAAUCAAGUUGGGCUAAAACCCAUAGGAUGGUCCAUGGAUGCUCCAUGGUGUAUUUGUACCCAUGGAUCCAAGGAAAUGGAAAGCCAUGACAAUUAAGAGUUUACCCUAAUUGUGUAACUAUAUAAGCAUCUUAUUAUUGAGGAAAAAUCGGCCACUAGUGAUAGUGAAGAAAGGGCUAGCCGAUUUUGAAGAGUGUAGAAUUCUCUCAAGUCAUUCCAAGUGUUUUGAUGAUUGUGAUUCCAUUUGAGGUGUCACACUUGGGGCACUAGGCACUCAAGCUUCAUGAAGACUUUCUACAUCAAAGAGGUAUGUAUUCUAUCUUGUUAUAUUCAUUGUUUUGUAUGCUAGAUUAGGAUAAUACCUUGGAUGUUCAUAUUUGUAUGUAUAAUAGAGAAAACAUAGAUCCAAGGUAUUUAGGGUUGCAUGUACACUUAGGAGUGUUAGAAUGCUCAAAACCCAACAGUGGUAUCAGAGCCACGGGUUGUUUUCUGUUAUAUUGAUGCAAAUAUUUUAUUUUCAAAGUAGAAAAAAAAAACAUGAAGUUUGUCAAAUUUUAAGAUAAUUACUUGUUCUUGUGAAAAACUAAUUAUUUGUAAAAUUUGAAUAAUUUGCUUUAUGAGUUGAAUUAGGUCAAAUUUAAUAAAAGAUAAAACGAUAUGAUUAUUUUAUGAGUUUUAAAAGUUUGAUCUAAAGAGUUUUAUUUUUUACAACCUCCAUAAGUUAUGGAUAUGAAAAGGUUUUAAAAAAAAUGAUUCAAAGUUUUUAUGGAGUUACAAAAUUUGGUGUUAAUGUUUUAAAGGAUUCCAUUACUUAAGAAUAAGUUAUGGAUCACCAAAAGUUUUUUGUUACCUUGUUUUAUGAAUGAAUUUAGAUUAAUGAAUAAAAUUAUGUGAUAGUUGGUUUUAAUCCAAAUUAAUCUAAAAGAAGUGCAUAAAAUGUGUUUAUGUAACUUAUAAGUCACAUUUAUGAAUCUUAAAACUCAUAUAAGUUGUCAUAGGUUACAAAAUCAAGAGUCUUUUUCCUCAUUAAAUUGUUUUAUGACUCCAUAAUUUUUCCUCAAGUUAUGGAUGUUCAAGAGCACUUCAUUAAAGUUUUUAACACUUUAAUUAAACUCAUAAGUUAUGAGAGUCGAAUAAACCCCUUCCCCAGCAGCUCCUGCAGCUACGAGAAUAACUCCUACAUCUCUGGUGGCGUAAGGCGAUAGGGCGCCUUGGCAAUAGGAGCUGCCCCCGGAACCAAAUAAAUACGAAACUCUACCUGCCUCUCGGGAGGCACACCCGACAACUCCUCGGGAAAAACAUCCGGGAACUCACGCACUAUCGGGACCUCAUCGACCGACCUCGGUCUCUCUGCAUCUACUCUCGUAUCCACCACAUAAGCCACAAACCCACUACAGCCCCGCUGUAGACUCUGCCUCGCCCUAGCGGCCGAACAAAAUGCUGACCCAGAAUGGGUACCCUCACCAUACAACGCAAGUACUCCCCUACUGGGGUCUCGUAUCGUCACCAACUGUCACUCGCAGUCUAUCACAGCCCCAAAUCGGCUCAGCCAAUCCAUUCCCAUUAUAACACACAUGUUCCCCAUCGAAAUCGGGACCAGAUCAAUCGAAAACGCGACACCGAAGAUCUCGAGCACACAUCCCCGAAUCACCUUCGUAGCAUACACCGCUCGCUCGUCGGCUAUAGAAAAUCAUAGAGGUCAACUCAACGCCUCUCGCUGAACACUGAUGUGUCGACUAAAUGCUAUUGACACAAAAGAUCGACUCGCACACAAGUCAAAUAACACUAAAGCAGACAUAGAACUCACAAGAAAAGUACCUACACAUAACAUAAUAUAAGCACAAUAUCUCAAAAUCAGCAUAAACAAAGAAAGAAUACAUACCAGCCACAACAUCGGGCGCUGCACGGACCUCCUCCACUGUCAACUGGAAGGCUCCCCCGUGAGCCUUCGGUGCCUCAGCCUUCACUGGCCGGGUCUCAGUAGCUCGAGCAGCAGGUGCGGACCCCUGCACUGAUCCCUGCAGUAGCCUUGGGCACUCGGCCUUCCGAUGGUCGGUCUGGUUGCAAUGAAAGCAAACCGAAAAUCCCUUAGGCCAAUCCCUCACGUAAUGCCCCUCCUUCCCACAAUUGUAACACACCCCAGCUCUGCACGCUCCCUCGUGGCUCUUGCUGCACUUCCCACAAGCGCGGCCCUUCGAACCCCCAGAUCUCGAAUCAGCGGGCUUUGCCCGCUUGGCUGCCGGCUGAGACUGUGUCGGCCGUCGAUCCGACCUUUGAGACUAGGCCUCCUCCCUGGCCUGAGUCUCCAACUCCAUCUCCCUCUUUCGGGCAUUUUCCUGGAGCUCAGCAAAUGUCUGUUAAGUCGAGUUCGACACGAACUCCCAAAUAUCCCUCCUCAAAACGCCCAAAUACCGGCUCAUGCGCGCCUGCUCAGUAGGCACCUGCUCAGGGCAGAACAUCGCCCUCUCAUGAAACUUCUGAUGGGUUUUGAGCAUUCUAACACUUCCUAAGUGUACAUGCAACCCUAAUAACCUUGGAUCUAUGUUUGUCUAAUUAUCAUGCAAAGCUAAAUUUCCAAGGUUAUAUUCCUAUCUAGCAUACAUGGGGAACAAUUUUAACUUGAAUGAAGGAUAGAAUAACUUACCUUGUUGUUGCUUAUGUUCCUUGAAACCUUGUGAGCCUAGCACCCCAAGUCUGAUGCCUCAAAUGCUUCACACAACACCAAAUGCUCUUGGAAAGACUUUUGAGAGAAUACACACUUCUUAAAAUCGGCCUAGCCCUCUAGUUUCUUAUGUGUACCCGAUUUUGGUGGAGAAUGGGACUCUUAUAUAGUGUUGACACAUCUAGGGUUACACCAUGUAAACCCUAAUGUGUCAUGACUCUUCAUUUCCAUGACCCAUGGGUUUGUAACUCCUAUGGAGCAUCCUAUGGGUGGAACCCAACUUGAUAAUCCAUGGAGCCUCUUAGCCCACUAUACAAGAUAUGGAUGAUUUACAUAAUCAACCCAUAUAUUUAAUUAGUUAUCCUUUGAUCACUUAAUUAAUUCCAAAUUAAUUCUUUGAUCAACUAAUCAAAUAAUAUUAUUAAUAUAUUAGAACUUAUAAUAUAUUAAUAAUCUCCAAGUGUUAUUUCUCUCAUUUAGUCUAUCCAAUUGCAUGGUGCCAUGCAACCCAAAUGGACCAUGCCGGGUCGGGUCAAGUACAAGCCCGAAAUAGUUAUGGACUUAGACACCUUAUCCAACAGUCUCCCACUUGGAUAAGUCUAAUAACUAUAUCUCUAGUACUUCAGGAACCGACCGGCAAUCGUAGCUCUUUCAAGGUCUCUCGGAACUGAGAAGAUGAUGGUACGCCAUUUAAGAUAAGUGAUCAUAUAAUCCUCCGUUCUAGAUAUCAGCCGGACAAAUACAUGGAACAUUGUCUUGCUUAUUGUCCAGCAUUUGUUUCCCGAUUUCCGAUUUGUUUGACAUAGAACUUAAUUGAACACAUCAACUUAGUUCUGACCGGGCCCGGUACAUGGGUCAAAACAAAAUCAUCGAGGGGCCCAGAUAUCAGCUUCUAAUCCAAGAAGGAACAGAUAAACUUCGACUCAUAUGUUUGUUCUACCACUCAUUGAAUUACACACAAAAGUACGUUUUAUAACAUCGAGUUACCAAUGCGGUUUCGUACAGUCAAUGCAUAACCAACUUGUAAGUAACAAAUCAUAUCUCUAGGUUUGAAGACUUAUAUGAUAUUACCGUCUCACGAUCACUCGAGAUAGAAUUCCAUGAAGUGAUUCCAGUGAGCGUGGGUUGAGUCCAAUGCUCAGAACUUAUGAGCACUCAUGAUUGUUGUAGCCUUGUCCAACACCUUAGACCUCUACAACCCAUCAUGACAGUCUUGAUUCAUACCUACUUCCGACAUAUGACCGACUGUGGAGGUUUGAAUAAUAUGUUACACCAAACAAAAUUAUUCUGGAAGUCAAAACAUGCAAAAGAAAUAUAGUAAACGAUUGACAAGAGAUAGCAACACUUUACUCAUAAAUAAAACACCUUUUAUUCAUCAUCAAAUGUCAAUUACACUUUACAAAUUUCUGGGUUAUCUAACUACUAAAACUUAUAUCAUCCUUCAGCCCUAUGCUCCGAGCAUGCUGGAGAUGCUUAACCCUACUCAGUCCCUUCGUGAGGGGAUCUGCUGGGUUCUCAUCCGAUGAUACCCUCUUUGCCACGAGGAGUCCUUCUUCGAUCCGAUGUCUAAUGAAAUGGUAUUUUCUGUCGAUGUGUCUGGAUCUCCCAUGAUCCCUUGGUUCCUUGGCUAAGGCAACAGCACUUUCACUAUCACAGAAAAUUUCCAUUGGCUCUUUAAUAGCUGGUACAACUCCAAGGUCUCCAAUGAAGUUCUUCAGCCAUAUCGCCUCCUUUGCUGCUUCGCUAGCUGCAAUAUACUCUGAUUCACAAGUAGAAUCUGCCACUGUCUCUUGCUUGGAACUCUUCCAAGAAAUUGCUCCUCCGUUUAGGGUAAAGACCCAGCCCGACUGAGAGCGGAAAUUAUCCCUAUCAGUCUGGAAGCUAGCAUCACUAUACCCUACAACUCUCAAGUCAUCACUCCCACCGAGGGUAAGGACCCAGUCCUUAGUCCUCCGUAGGUACUUGAGGAUAUUCUUUACCGCAGUCCAGUGUGCCUUGCCAGGGUUCGCCUGAUACCUGCUAACCAUGCUCAAGGCAAAAGCUACAUCGGGUCGAGUACACGUCAUAGCAUACAUGAUCGAUCCUACAGCCGAAGCGUAAGGUGUUCGACUCAUUUCUGCUAUCUCAGCCUCAGUGCUAGGGCUUUGUGUCUUACUCAAUCUGGUGUUACUCUGGAUGGGUAACUCUCCUUUCUUGGAAUCCUGCAUGCUGAAUCUCUUCAGCACCUUAUCCAAGUAGGUACUCUGACUAAGUCCAAUUAGUCUUUUACUCCGAUCUCUCAAGAUUCUUAUCCCUAGAAUAUAGGCAGCUUCACCAAGGUCCUUCAUAGCGAAACACUUCCCAAGCCAGGACUUUACUUCCUGCAGGGUUGGAAUGUCGUUUCCUAUGAGUAGUAUGUCAUCCACAUACAAUACCAAAAAGCUAACUAUACUCCCACUAGCCUUGACAUACACACAAGAUUCAUCUUCACUCCUAGAAAAGCCAAAUUCCUUGACCUUUUCAUCAAAGCAAAGAUUCCAUCUGCGAGGUGCUUGCUUCAAUCCAUAAAUGGAUUUCUCAAGCUUACACACUCUAUUAGGGUACUCGUUGCUGACAAAACCCUCUGGCUGACUCAUGUAAACAUCUUCAGCCAACUUUCCAUUAAGGAAAGCGGUUUUGACAUCCAUCUGCCAUAUUUCAUAGUCAUGAAAUGCAGCUAUGGCUAACAGAACCCGAAUAGACUUAAUCUUGGCUACCGGAGAAAAGGUCUCAUCAUAAUCCACUCCAGGAAUUUGAGAGAAGCCCUUUGCAACCAGUCUAGCCUUAUAAGUGUGUACUUUACCAUCCAUGUCGGUCUUCUUCUUGAAGACCCAUUUGCACCCUACUGUCUUACGACCUGGUACAUUUUCAACCAAGUUCCAAACUUGAUUGUCAUACAUGGAUUGUAUCUCGCUAUCCAUAGCCUCUUUCCAUUUAGCAGACUCGGGGCCUGCCAUGGCUUCCUCGUAGCUGUUAGGGUCAUCUUGACUUACUAGUGUCUCAUCACUAAUAAGUGUCUCACCUUCUGCAGUAAUAUGGAAUCCAUAGUAAUGCUCAGGUGCACUCCUAACUCUCGUGGAACGUCUCAGAGGUACAGAUUUGUCAAUUGGCUCAACAGGAGUUUCCUCCUCAAGUUGAGGGCUAGAGUUUGAAGUUCCUUCACCGCUUGAUUCUUGAAUUUCUUCAAGAUCAAUUUGCCUCCCACUGUCUCCUUGGCUUAUAAACUCUCUUUCUCGAAAGACUCCUCUUCUUGCUACAAAGACCACAUUGUCACUAGGUCUGUAGAAGAGGUAACCAAAGGAUCGCUGUGGGUAACCGAUGAAAAUACACCUCUCGCUUCGAGGUUCGAGCUUAUCAUGAGUCUCGCGUCUCACGAAAGCCUCGCAACCCCAAAUCUUGAUGUGGUCUAGUUUAGGUACUUUACCAGUCCACAUCUCGUGAGGAGUUUUGGCAACUUUCUUUGUAGGGACUAGAUUAAGAAUAUGGGCGGCAGUCUCUAAGGCAUACCCCCAGAAUGAGAUUGGUAGCGUAGCUCGACUCAUCAUGGAACGAACCAUAUCUAACAAGGUUCGAUUACGCCUCUCAGCCACACCAUUCAACUGUGGUGUCCUGGGAGGUGUCAAUUGUGAGACUAUCCCACAUUCCCUUAGAUAGUCGAGGAACUCUGAACUAAGAUACUCACCACCACGAUCGGAUCGAAGCAUCUUAAUGUUCCUGCCCAAUUGAUUCUCGACUUCCUGUUUAAAUUCCUUAAACCUCUCGAAAGUCUCUGACUUAUGCUUGAUCAAGUAGACAUAUCCAUAUCUACUAUAAUCAUCAGUAAAAGUCAAAUAAUAACGAUUAGCAUCCCUUGUGGCAUGUUUGAAUGGUCCACACACAUCCGUGUGUAUAAGGUCCAACAAACCUUCACCCCUCUCACACGAACCUGUGAAGGGUGACUUUGUCAUUUUUCCAAGUAAGCAUGAUUCGCAACUAUCAUCUGACUUUAGGUCAAACGACUCCAAGACUCCAUCCUUUUGGAGUUGGCCUAUGCGUUUCUUGCUUAUAUGUCCAAGACGACAAUGCCAUAAAGAUGCUUUAUCCAAGUUAUUAUUAGUAGAAUCAAUACACAAAACAUUAUUUCCCAAGUUAUCUACAACAGAUACAGCUUCAUACACACCAUCACAAGGUAAUGCUUUAAAAUAAAAGACAUUAUUAUAGAAAACAUCUAUAGAACCAACUUCAUUAUUAAAUGAAAAGGUAAACCCUUGUUUGUACAAAGCAUGAAAGGAAAUAAUAUUUCUUGCCAUUCCUGGCGAAUAACAACACUUAUUCAAAUCUAAACUAAACCCACUACUUAGCGAUAAAGUAUAAACUCCAAUCUUGGUAACAGGUAUAGCUUUCCUAUUCCCCAUGAUCAAGUUUAUCCUUCCUUGCUCCACAUCCUCACUUCUUCUUAGUCCCUGCAAGUCACAACAAAUGUGAAUACCACACCCGGUAUCAAGGACCCAAGAAUUAGAAUGGGGUGAGUUAUUAGAAAUGAUAGUGUAAAUACCUGCAUGGUUGGGUUUAACUUUCCCAUCCUUCACAUCUUGCUGGUAUUUUGGGCAGUUCCGCUUCCAAUGAGCUUUUUCAUGGCAAUAGAAGCAUUCAGCCUCUUUUGGGUCAGAAGAAGGAGUAAUGAAACCUUUCUUGGUUCCACUUGAAGAAGAGCCAUCAAGGGUCCGAACCUUGGUACCCUUAGAAGAGCUCUUUCUCUUCCUCCCUCGACUUUUCCCGAUUGCCAAAACCGGAGUAGAGUUUUGAGUAGGAGUGAUAGCAACCGACUUCCCCUUAAGACCUGAUUCUGCGGUCUUGAGAAGUCCCUGAAGUUUGCUGAGGGUGACUUCUUCCUUGUUCAUGUGAUAUGUCAUGCGGAAUUGAUCAUAGCACGAUGGUAAGGAAUGCAAAAUAAUAUCUAUUGCAAGAUCCUCCGGGAAGUUCACAUUAAGCUUCAGCAAACGAUCCACAUACCUUUGCAUUUUCUGCAUGUGGCUCGUGACGGAUUCCCCGUCCUUCAUCAUGGUUGUUAUCAUGGAGCAGAUGAUUUCAUACCUCUCUUGUCUUGCACUUUGAUGGUAUCUUUCCAUCAAAUCUUGGUGCAUUUCAUAAGGGUAGAAAUCCUCAUAAGACUUUUGGAGUUCCGCUGUCAUCGUGGCCAUCAUGAUGCAAGCCACUUUCGUAGCAUCCCUUUCAUGUGCCCGAAAUUCAGCGAUCUCCUGAGGAGUUGCAGUGGACUCAUCAAUCUCCUUAAGCUCCUUGUCAAGGACAUAUUCUUUGUCCUCGUAGCGGGUAAUCAUCCUGAUGUUUCUGAUCCACUCAUUGAAGUUGGAUCCAUCAAAGGUGACUUUCCCACACAAGUUCAUAAGGGUAAAGGAGCCAUUAGGAUUAGAGCCAGAAGCAUUGUUGAAAGACAUCUGAAGGAAAGAGGACAAGAUUAGUUUAGAUAUAAGAGAGUCCUUAAUAAAACACCCAAAUGUAAUAUUAAGGCUAGGAUCCAAUCACAAUAUAAUAUAACUUAGAAGAGGUAUGCCGUAAUCUAAGCUAUAUCAUAUUUGAAAGGUAGGUGAAUGACGAUUCACCAAUUUCCACCACGAAAACCGCAAUAUUUUAGUAUUAGGUUUUUGAAUGGUUCUUAGAAAUUCCUAGAUUCUUUGAGAUUCAAUGAACUUUUCAAAGGCAUGUUUCAAUCUCGAGUGUGCCCUCCAAGUUUUGUGACUGGGAUACCGAGGAUCACAAAACGAGGUGUGAAGUAACCAUGCAAAUCACUUGGUACCCUUAAAGUUUAUCACUCAAUCGAUGUGCCGGUUAACCACACACGCUCCAUCGAUACUAUAAUAAACCCUAAGUCACCCUUUACCUACCUUGUUAAGUCCAAGUUAGUGUGCCGGUUAACCACACACGCUCCACCAACGACUUAAUCAAAGUGUAAAGUGUAAUUUCAUGGAAUAGCACCUUAUUCACAUUUUUCCUAAAGUAACUAAGAUUGGGAAUUUAAUAAAACAUUUAGUUACUUUAUAAUAUUCAUCAUACUUUGAAUGAGAAUUAAUAAGUCCUUGUCUUACCCGUUCGGCUAACGACCCUCCACCGAUCAAGCAAGCGGUGGGUGAGAGUGGACACCCAUUAAGUCACCAUUUUAUAGGCAACAACCUUAUACCCACCUUAUAGACCGGCUUCGUGAAUGAGGCGUACUAGCGGUAAGACGACUUUGUUCUUAUACAUAUAUAUAUAAUUAUUAAAUCAUAAUAAUAUAAGUAUAAGGGUUGAAUUUUAACUUUUAAAAUUCUAGGGGUUGGAACUAAAGUUUUAACUUAACUUUACUUGUUCCAAAACUUGAGGGCAAGUUUUGUAAACUUUCAAAACUUUUCAUUUCUUGUAACUUAUGAGUUUAAUAGAGUAAUAAAAUGAGGACUUUUCAUUUUUCCUAACUCUUGUGUUCUUUUAAUGGUUUUUAAUCCAAGAGACUUUUGGUUUUCCAUAACUUGAGGACAAGUUAUGGACUCCAUUAAAACACAUUAUGAUCAUGAAUUAAUCUACCACAUAGGUUACAAAUAAUUCCUAUGAUCAUCUAAACAUCAUAAGAACAAGAAUAUGAAUAUGAACACUUUCAAGAAUCAAAAUCACAUUUAAUCUUUGUAAUUUUGAUAACUAGUUGUUGUAAAUGAGUUAGAAAAGACAUUACACCUUCUAAAAUAAGUUUUCAAGUACCAAAACAUUUUAGGGUAAUGAUUCUAAUCCAUUUCCAGCAACUCAAGUCGAAAUUCUGCACUCUGUCGACCCUACUCGCCGAGUGCAUAAACCUACUCGCCGAGUAGGUUGAAGAUACACAUGAACUCGACGAGUCCUCCCCAUGGACUCGCCGAGUCCAUCAGUCAGACAGCAAGAUUUUCGACUUUCUUCAACUUUUAAGCACAAAUAACAAACAAACAAGCCUAGGCUCUGAUACCACUGAUGGGUUUUGAGCAUUCUAACACUUCCUAAGUGUACAUGCAACCCUAAUAACCUUGGAUCUAUGUUUGUCUAAUUAUCAUGCAAAGUUGAAUUUCCAAGGUUAUAUUCCUAUCUAGCAUACAUGGGGAACAAUUUUAACUUGAAUGAAAGAUAGAAUAACUUACCUUGUUGUUGCUUAUGUUCCUUGAAACCUUGUGAGCCUAGCACCCCAAGUGUGAUGCCUCAAAUGCUUCACACAACACCAAAUGCUCUUGGAAAGACUUUUGAGAGAAUACACACUUCUUAAAAUCGGCCAAGCCCUCUAGUUUCUUAUGUGUACCCGAUUUUGGUGGAGAAUGGGACUCUUAUAUAGUGUUGACACAUCUAGGGUUACACCAUGUAAACCCUAAUGUGUCAUGACUCUUCAUUUCCAUGACCCAUGGGUUUGUAACUCCCAUGGAGCAUCCUAUGGGUGGAACCCAACUUGAUAAUCCAUGGAGCCUCUUAGCCCACUAUACAAGAUAUGAAUGAUUUACAUAAUCAACCCAUAUAUUUAAUUAGUUAUCCUUUGAUCACUUAAUUAAUUCUAAAUUAAUUCUUGAUCAAACUAAUCAAAUAAUAUUAUUAAUAUAUUAGAACUUAUAAUAUAUUAAUAAUCUCCAAGUGUUAUUACUCUCAUUUAGUCUAUCCAAUUGCAUGGUGCCAUGCAACCCAAAUGGACCAUGCCAGGUCGGGUCAAGUACUGACCCGAAAUAGUUAUGGACUUAGACACCUUAUCCAACAACUUCCUGCUAACCACAGUAACAUAAUCAACACCCUGCUUGAGGGUCAAGAACUCCUGAGCCAAACGCUCCCUUUCCACCGGAGGGACAUACUCAUCUCGAAACAUCGUGGUGAACCUCUCCCAGGUCACCGCAGUCAGCUCUGCCGUAGUGAAGUCUGCCGUCACAAACUUCCACCAGUCCUUCGCCCCCAAGCGAAGCUGGUUCAGCGCAAACCGAACCCUCAAAUGCUCUGGACACGAGCAAGUAUAGAAACAACCCUUAACAUCGGUAAUCCAUCUCAUAGCAGCAAUCAGAUCUUGCAUCCCAUUAAACUUUGGUGGCUUCGUGUUGCUGAACUCUCUGUUCAGCAACGAGUCACCCCCUGCGGCCUGGCAGCAGCGACGGUUGCGGUGGCCGCAGCAACAACUGCAUCAGUAAGAGCGGCGUAUCGCUCAUCAAAAGUCUCCAUCAACGUGGUCUUGAUAGACCCGAACAUCUCGGGAAUCUCAUCACGGAUGGCAGCAGCCACCUCAUCAUGAAUCAUAUAGCAGAGCUCCUCAUCACUCACAACCCCCUCGCUAGUCCCUGGCCGGUGGCGUGUCCCAACCAUGAUGUCUCUCUCAAAUGAAAUACAACACAAGGUAUCAGAGACUCGCUCGAGUAUACUCGCACUCGAUAACUCAACCCUACUUGUUCCUUAGUACCCAAAGAAUUCUUACUUAGGGCGCGCACUGCUCCGGUAUCUUCGGUAGUACGGGCCCUAUAUUACCGUCCACACCGCAUCAGCAUUCACUCUAAGUCUUCCUCCUUGGAUCCCAGGUCACAAGUACACUAUAUCUCACUGGAACAGGCUACCUAUUCACUCUCAAGCAUCACAAAGCAACAAACCAUUCCUAGGCUAAGGCAUCACAAAUCAGGCCACUCUAGUCCUAAUAUGAUUACCUAGCCUACUCUAACAUGCAUAUCAUAUCACAUCAUAUCUCAUAACACAUAAUGUAAGGAUAUUUUGGGAAAUCAACGUUCGGGCGCUGGCUGAUUGUACACACUGCUCUGCUCUGCUCUUUCAGAACUUUUUACUUUUUAAUAACAUUUUGUGAAUUUUAUUUUGAAAAUCUCUCAAAUCCUCAGUUUGAGUUCCGAUACGCCCGAAGGUGUACCCGAAUCCCUCAAACCAAGGCUCUGAUACCAACUUGUAACACCCAAAUAUUUCAAACAAAUUUUCACAUUUUAUAAAACACAUUUUCAUCCAUAAUUGUUAUAAAAACACCAUUGUUCACAUAUUUAAAUCAUAACAUCAUAUCCCAAGAUCAUAAAAUAGAAACUCCUCGUGUGUGUACAAAUCAUGCCGGCACCUUCCCGCGAUCCUCACUAGUACCUGAAACACAUCACACAACAAGUGCAAGCAUAAAAGCGUAGUGAGUUUCCCAAAUACCACAAGCAACACAUACGCCACUCGAGGCUACAAUGCGACCCUUCGGUCCGAUGUGUCUCAGCGGGACCCUCUAGUCCCGUAGCUCGUUGGACCCUCUGAUCCGGUUAUAACUCGUUGGACCUUUCGGUCCGGUCUGUAUCGUUGGACCCUCCGGUCCGGUCUAUACAACACAUAGCAUACAUAUACACAAAGCACUUAAUCUCAUACAUACACAUAGCAUACACGCCUUUCCUCUUUGCCCAUGGUCCUCUCUUGACUCACUGAGUCAACCCUAUACUCCACAGGUCGUCACAGAUCGCGAGUCGCGGGGUAACCUGUCUCAACUCGUCGAGUCCUCUCAUGGACUCGGCGAGUACAUGCCAUGCUCACACACAAACGACCUUCUAAGUUCAGAUCUGUUCCUCUAAUCCAUAGAUCUGGCCUUACCAACCACUAUAAUCAUGUAAAGUCUCAAUCUUGAUGCACAUGCAACAUCCAUAUGACCAUAUAUGAUGAUUUAGCCCCAAAUACCUUAACCCAAGGUCAUGACCUCCAUUGCUCUUCAUAAAGCUUGAUGAGUAAGGCUCUCUGAACCUCUAUGGAUGCAGAUCCAAAGCCUCAUUAUCAGAAGGGACUAUUUGGACCUCAAAUCAACUUAGACAAGGGCAUAAGAAACCCUAAAACCAUAUAUUCUUCCUAAAACAGAAGAAGAGUUGAAGUAAUACCUCAUAUGAAAUGAUCUUAGCUUCAAAUCCCCAGAAUAGCAACCCCCUUUGCUUUCCCUUGGCUAGAACCUCCUUCUUCUUGCUAAACAACACCACAACGGUCAAGAAUGGCUUCUUUUCUCUCUCUCAAAACGCUCUAGCACUCUAGGGUUUCUCUCUAUGGACUGGUGGCCACAAAUGACGGCCAUAAGGGCCUUUACAUAGGCCACAAACCCGAGAAAUUAGGGUUUCAUUAAACAGCGUGGACUCACCGAAGCCAUGCAUGGACUCGCCGAGUCCCUCAUUAAUCAGACCACUCAAAUCGCGAUCUAACUCGGCGAGUCGGGGCUCCUACUCGCCGAGUAUCUCUCCAAAAUUCAAUAUAAAUGAAUAAAUUAAUAUACCUGGGAAUCCGGAUGUUACACGUUUCUAUUGGUUUUUGUCGGUUCUACCGGUUUCGGUUCCUACUGGUUCCCGAUUCCAAAAAUCCAUAAGAAUAUUGUCUCGGUCCUGGCCCGACCGGUUCCAUUGGAUUCCCAUUCAUACCAGUUGCGGCCGGUUCCCCAGUCCAUAUGCUCAUCCCUACAAUCAAGAUUAGUUAUCAUUCCAUUCUUGGUAGACCAUGCUUUGUUUAUGAGCCAUAUACAACCUUUUAAUAUCAUGUCUAGUAAUAUACAAUCUUUCAAUAUCUCGUCUAGUAGGUUAACGUAAGUGUUCUUUGCUAAAAACCUCUGUAACAUAUGCACAAAAAUACUUCACACACUCUCAUGUAGUUCUCAUAUAUAUUUUAAAUAUUCAUUCGUUGCUUCAUAGGUAAUACUAUAACCUAGAUACCUAUGUGCAGUUGUACAUUUCUAUAUAAUAGUAAAGCCCAUUCUACCUCUAGGUCCAGUUCUGCUAAAAAAUCACAUCGUGCCUCUAAAGUGUUACUAAUGCGUAAAAAUACCUCUUUAUUUAUACGAAAACGAUGUUCAAAUGCUUCCUCCUUAUAAAUACAAUUCCCAACAAAAUAAUCACAUACCAAAUGUUUAUAUGAAGCUUGACGAUAUUGGUUGACAAUGGCUCUUGUGUGCUUAACAUGAGUGAAUUAUUGAUCAACAAUGUUUGUAACAAUAUUAAAGAAUGAUGAGAAAAACUCCCCGUCAUCACAAAAUCAUAUCUUUUCAAAAAUUUCCUUGUUUAUAGUGUUAAAAAUAGAUAAAAGAUAAUGAAGACUUUGAGUGAAAUUUUACUGGUAUAUAUAGAUGAGAUGAUGAGUGUGUUUAAGUAAAUAUGAUUUUCUUAAGAAAAUUCCACAAGUAGUCGUUUAACCCUUAGUCAUCAAAUCUUAUUCCCCCAUUAGAGCGUUUCUCAUCAUGUCGCUAUCCACAAACCACCAUGGUAGUGUGUCACACCCCGAAAACCGAAGGCGGAAACAUUUUCGAGGUUGACUCCACGUUGAGUAUCAAAUCAAAUGUGCAUAGUAAGUAAAGUAAACAACCAUUACAUUACAUAUAGAAAAGUUUUACAUUUGUUUCAAAAGCAUAAGUUAUACAAGUGAUACAUAGUAUAUAUAAACAACACGAAACGAGUCUUCUGAGAACUCCGUCUUCGCACAAAAGGAUCUUCGGGUACCUGUCUAACACGGACCUGAGAAUACAAGCGGUUUGAAAAUCAGCAUAAAGCUGGUGAGUUCAUAAGCGGUUUUGUUUUUCUGAAAAUGUACGAGUUCCCUUAGUUUUCUGAAAACGUGGUUAUCCAAGAAAAUCCCAUAUUUUCUUAUGUAAAGUUAGUUUCCAAAUCCGAAAAGUAAAGUAAACGAUGUACAAUGAAAACAUGAUUGUUCUUGUGAAUUGUAGUUCAGUUGUUUAACUUGUUAUACUUUUCUAGUUACGUACUACUGUUACUCAGGAAGAACCCCAUGUUCUCCUGACUGUGUGUGUGUGAACUAUUACCAAUUCUGAUUAUGUUCAGUGUCCUCCCCAGGAAAACCCCAUGUUUUCCUGACUGUGUGUGUACUGUUACCAAUCCUGUGUGUACUAACUGUUUCCGAUUCCGAAUAUGUUCAAUGUUAUCCCCAGGAAAACCCCAUGUUUUCCUGACUGUGUGUAUGUGUGUGCCUGUCAUCCUUGAACGUACAUUAGUUUUAUUACGUACAUAAAACUAAUAAAUACUCGUAAAGUGUUAAUAAUCCUGAUUGCGAGUCCUUAACCAUACUCAGACUAGAUAUGACUCGGACCAGGGCCAGUAUCCUUUUUAUGACUUUUGUCACCCUUGAACCUUUCGGUUCGGCUGUAGCUAGCAGCCAGGUGUGGGAUUGUCAGUCCCGUAUAGAUCUAUACACUCAAGCCACGCUCUCCUACGAACGGAGAUUCUGGUUACAGGGUUAGUCCUCCACUAUCUCGUGCCAUGGAAGUGUUACAAGGACGUGUCUCCAAUCUUUAAGAUUACUCUUUACUUUUCGACUAGGAAAGUAGUAUUUACGACUAGCUAUGUUCUACGUACCUGUCCUUUACACUCGAGCCUAGGUGUUUUAUUAAGGACAUUACACUCGAGCCAAGGUGUUAUCUAAUGAUGAUUGUCCUUUUACACUCGAUCCUAGGUGUAUUAUUAAGGACAUUACACUCGAGCCUAGGUGUUAUUUAAUGAUUACGGUCCUUUACACUCGAUCCUAGGUGUAUUAUUAAGGACAUUACAGUGAUUUGUGUGUUAUGAUGGUAUUUAUCUAUCACACUCGAACCUAGGUGUAUUGUUAAGGACGUACAGAUGUUUUAUGUUUUCUAAUGGUGUCUGUCUUUUACACUCGAACCUUAGUGUUUUAUUACAGACAUUACAAUGGUUUAUGUGUUCUAUCAGUUUAAAUGUGAACAAUCAAAUGUAAAGUAUACAAUAUAACAGAGUGUAAUAAGAAUUGAAAAUCGGGUUAAAACAAACAACUCUGCAAGUUAAAACAGUUUGUUAAAAGGUUUUCAAUUCUUAAAAUGUACAAUUAUGAAACCAUUUGACUGAAAUCAUAAGUUUCAGUAAAAGAUAUUCUUGUACUUUUUCUUGUAUUCCCCCCCUGAAAACAUUGAAAAACCAUUGAAAAAGGGUAGGGGUAUGAACUCACCGGACGCGGAUAUGUGUUGAUUUCGGAUGUAAACGUCGAAUCGAGGCCUGAUAACACGCGAGGUUCCUAUGUAAUAUGAAAUGGCAUACAAAUAUAUCUAAUUAAAUUCAUAAACUCUAAUUAGAUAUGAAGUCACACUCCAACGAACGAAAACACCCCAAAACGGGUGUUUGGAGUGACCCGGGUGACAUCUACGGACGGGAAUUGAAGCGAGCGACUUGGAAUUUGAGUUUACUCCCCAAGAGUAAACUCCCCAAUGAAGUUUAGGGCCUAAACACCCAUUCCCCAUGAGUUUACGGCCGUAAACUUAUGGUGGGGUGGUUUAUGGUGUUUAAUGGGUCACAAAUGGAUAUUAACACUUGGAAAUGCUUGGAAUAAUUUUACCUAAGACUUGGAUUGAAUUAAAAUCACCAAAUACAACCCUUAAGGGAGUUUACGGCCUUGGCAUGGGGUCUAUGGCCGUAAACUCUCAUAUCUCCUUGAAUAAUUGUUUUUAAGGUCCCAAAAUUAAUCACAUGUGAUUCUAAAAAUUCCUACAAGCCUAGAAAUGAAUUUUGGGCACCAUUUGACAUCCUUUUAGGAGUUUACGGCCUUGAAGCAUGUUCUAUGGCCGUAAACUCUCAUAUGUGAGGUUUUUUGUGUUUAAGGUCCUUAAAUGUCACACCCCAAAACCUGAACGACGGAAACGUUCGGGGGCGGAUGACUUCAUGUGGUAACGUAACAAAUGAAUACAUAGUAAAGAAAGCAAUACAACCAUCAUAUAUAUAAUUGAAAGCUUAAAUUUGUCAAAAGUUACAUGUUCAAAACCAAUUACAAUAUGAUGUCAAAAUAUGAAAUUAAACUGGUGCCGCAGCAUCUCUUCUUCAAAAGCAUAUUAGUACCUGAAAUUACUGAAUCCCUGGGACAUACAAGAAGUUUUGAAAGAGUAGAUCAACAUUUAAGCUGGUGAGUUUCAUAAGUAUUAAAUGACAAUGUUUGUAUGAAAUGAAAUGUUUUGUCCUUGUUUGUUUGUUUCCAGAAAAUCCUAUAUUUUCUACUAGUAUAAAAGUAGCCUUCUCUCAAGACCAAUGUUUGUUUCUAAAAAUCGUAUGUAAGUGUAAAAUAACCAAUGUGUUUGAAAACCUUGUAAAUCAAUGCAUUUUUAAUACCCCAUGUGAGUUUUAUAACCAUACUAUUGACUCGGAAUGCCUAUACACAACGUUCUUCAGGCGUUGGAAUGUUAUGACGUUUGUCACCCCAAAUGGUGGACUGUAGCUAACAGUCAAGGCGCGGGUUGUCAAGCCCGUAUAGAUCUAUACACAAACACCAUGCUCCCCCUCCAAGGGAUUCUGGUAUAUAAUACAGGACUUGAAAUGUGUACUCGAACGUACAUGAAGUUAGUGUCUCACAAAUCCGUGGUAUAAAAACAGAUCUACUUGUUAAAAUGUUACGUUUGUUCUUGUAUACGAAAGUAAACUUCUUGAAAUAUGUGUUUCUAGUACAUAAGAGUUAGAAAUCUGUUCGUAAAACUAUACCUAUUAUAGUUUCCAAAAAGCGUGUCUUGUUUGUUUAGAAAUAUUGAGAAAAGGAAUCACUUGUUUAUGAAAGUAUAGAUUUUUGGUGUAGAGUCUAGGAUAGACAAGAAAAAUCUAAGAACAGUUUAGUUUAUACAUGCAUUACAACAACAUUAUAUUUUAAAAGGUAAAAUGCUAUUGUGACAUAUGUUAUAUAUAUAUAAAAGUUCCUUUAAAUGUUUAUAAAUCGCAUGUGAUUUGAAUAUAUAACAGUAUAUAAAAGAGUUUCUUUAUGUAACACACGAUAAUACUCGUGUGUUUUACUUGUAAUCCCCCCCUUGAAAGCAUAUAAAAGUAUUUAGAAUAAUUAAAAAGGUUGAUUAAGGGGUAUGAAACUCACUUGAAAGUUUUGGAGAUAGCGAGAUGGAAAACCGGGCAGAGUUUCGUCUCGGGAAACGGAUUUUCCUCGGGAUUCUCGGGAAUCUCGGGAGUAAAAUCGACCUUCGGGACUUGAGCCAAAAAGACCAGAGCUUCGGGUUUGAACGGACACGGAAAACGAGGCAAAGUUGAGAGAGAGAGAAGAGAAAUGAACCCUUUCUUUGGAAACCCUCGCAUCCUAUUUAUAGUAAGGCUGGUCUGCCUCGGUACGCGGGGCGUACGCUCGUACGCAGCGCGUACGCGUACGUCAUGCAUGACCGAAGCCUCGACUGCCUCGGUUCGGAUGGGACGGGUUGCUGGGUACGCGGGUCGGAUGGGACGCCGGGUCGGAUGGGACGUCGGGUCGGACGGGUCGGGGCUUCGGACGGGUCGGAUGGGUCGGUUUCUUCGGAUAGCGCGACGUGGACGAUCAGAGGCCAAUCCUCUCGGUUACGCGGGGCGUACAGGGGUACGCAGCGCGUACCUCGGAGGAGGAUGCUGACUCCCCUUCGGAUAAUAUCCGAAUUUUGAAUUAAAUAAAUAAUUAAUUUAUUUAAUAAACUUCAAAAAUUCAUAUCUUCUUCAUACGAACUCCGUUUUCGAUGGUCUUUAUAUCCUCGCGUAGGUGAGACUACGCUCUACAACUUUCGUUUAGACUCCGUCGGCAAAUUCCAAAAUUAUAUUUUUAUUAUUUAUUAAAAACCCAUCGUGUUUAAGGAAUUUCUUUGAAAAUUCAUAACUUCUUUAUCUGAUGUCGGUUUUUGCCAGACUUUUUACCGCUGGAAUACCAUUGUCGAGACCUUCGAUUCUCGUUUAGGUCAUUCCGGCCAAAAGUCGCUCGAUCUCCGAUUCGAGUUUUUAGCUGUCUGUUGCUAAGCCGAACUUGGAAAAAUCAUAACUUCGCUAUAUGAAGUCGGAUUUGGGCGUUCUUUUCACGUACGAUCAUGGUUCAAAGACAUUUAAUCAUAGAAGGAAAUUAAGUAGAACUUAUUUAUACAUUUUAUUAUGAAAGUAACUUUUUAUUAUUCAGAAGUGGUUACAAUACUUGACCCAUUUUGGUCGUUACAAAGAGUUGAAAUAUCGGGUUGUCACAUCAUCCCCCCGUUAGAGAGAAUUUCGUCCCGAAAUUUAAAGUAGUAAAGAUACUAGUGAACAUGAAAGAGAUGAGGGUACUUUUGUUUCAUCUGAUCUUCGCGUUCCCAUGUGAAUUCAGGUCCCCGCUUGGCGUUCCAGCGAACCUUCACGAUGGGUAUGCGACUUUGUUUUGUUUGUUUGACCUCUCGGUCCAUGAUUUCUACUGGUUCUUCCACAAAGUUGAGGCUCUCGUUGAUCUCGAUCUCGUCGAGUGGAAUAACAAGAGUCUCGUCGGACAGACACUUUUUCAAGUUUGAGACGUGGAAGGUUGGAUGGAUGUUACUAAGUUCGCGCGGUAGGUUAAGCUUGUAAGCCACAGGGCCGAUUCUGGCAAGAAUCUCGAAAGGCCCUAUGUAUCUUGGAUUUAGUUUCCCACGCUUUCCAAAUCGUAUUAAACCCUUCCACGGUGAGACCUUUAAUAAGACGUGGUCUCCUACCUGGAAUUCCAAAGGUUUCCUCCUUUGGUCAGCGUAGCUUUUCUGUCGGUCUCUUGAGGCUUUCAAUCGUUCACGAAUCUGAACGAUCUUCUCUGUUGUUUCACGUAUGAUCUCCGGACCGGUGAGAGUGCUUUCAGGAACUCUUCCUCUAGCUAACUGGGUAUCGCCAACUUCAGUCCAGCACAGAGGGGAUCUGCACUUUCGACCAUAGAGGGCUUCAAACGGAGCAGCCUUUAUGCUUGUAUGAUAACUAUUGUUGUAUGAAAAUUCGACAAGGGGUAAAUGAAUAUCCCAUGCCUUUCCAAAGUCAAUCACACAGGCUCUCAGCAUAUCUUCUAAAGUUUGUAUUGUUCUCUCACUUUGUCCGUCUGUUUGUGGGUGGUAGGCUGUACUCAUGUCUAGCCUAGUUCCCAGGGAACUUUGUAGUGACUGCCAGAAUCUUGAAGUGAAUCUACUAUCUCGAUCGGAGAUAAUGGAUAUCGGAACACCAUGCAGUCGCACUACUUCCCUUAAGUAAGUUCUUGUAAGCUUCUCCAUUUUGUCAGUCUCCUUGAUGGGUAGGAAAUGCGCGGAUUUGGUCAAUCUGUCGACAAUGACCCAUAUGGUAUCGAGUCCACUUGUCGUCUUGGGUAACUUGGUUAUGAAGUCCAUAGUAAUCCGCUCCCAUUUCCAUUCUGGUAUCUCCGGUUGUUGUAGUAAUCCUGACGGUUUCUGAUACUCGACCUUAACCUUAGCGCAAGUAAGGCAUUUACUUACGAAGGUAGCAAUUUCUGCUUUCAUGUUAGGCCACCAGUACAGUUUCUUAAGAUCCAGAUACAUUUUAUCUGAACCUGGGUGAACGGAAUAUCUUGAGUUGUGUGCUUCGGUCAUGACUACGUUUCUGAAACCACCAUGUUUCGGGGUCCAGAUUCGGUCCAUGAGAUAGUAGGCUCCGCCACCCUUGACUUCUAGAUUCUUUUCCAUUCCUCGCAGGGAUUCACCCGCCACAUUUUCAGGUUGCAAAGCUUCCAGUUGUGCCUCCUUAAUUUGUGUGGAUAAGUGGGAAUGGAUAGUCAUAGUCAGAGAUUUGACCCUCCGACCAGUGUAUUCCUUUCGACUGAGGGCGUCAGCUACUACGUUGGCCUUGCCAGGAUGAUAACGAAUUUCGCAUUCGUAGUCAUUUAGUAACUCAACCCAUCGUCGUUGUCGCAUGUUGAGUUCCUUCUGAUCGAAAAUGUGUUGAAGGCUCUUGUGAUCGGUGAAAAUAGUACUCUUUGUUCCGUAUAAGUAGUGUCUCCAGAUCUUCAGAGCAAAUACCACUGCUCCUAACUCAAGAUCGUGUGUCGUAUAGUUCACUUCGUGUGUCUUAAGCUGUCGGGAGGCAUAAGCAAUAACCUUCCCUCUCUGCAUAAGAACACAACCAAGUCCUUGGUUUGAUGCAUCACAAUACACUACAAAAUCUUCUAUUCCUUCGGGAAGGGAUAGUAUCGGUGCGGUGCACAAGGCCUGUUUCAGUGUUUGGAACGCCUUCUCUUGUUUCGCUUCCCAGUCAAAGGCCACGCCUUUCUGGGUUAAUGUAGUAAGAGGUUUCGCAAUGCUAGAGAAGUUCUUUAUGAAUCUGCGAUAGUAGCCAGCGAGACCUAGAAAUUGACGAAUCUCUGUAGGUGUCUUUGGUGCCGACCAGUUCUCAAUGGCCUUAAUUUUGGAGGGGUCCACGUGUAUCCCCUUCUCGCUAACAACGUGGCCCAAAAAUUCGACUCUUCGAAUCCAAAAUUCGCAUUUAGAGAACUUCGCAUAGAGCUUCUCCGAUCGCAAUGUUUCUAAGACUUUUCGUAGGUGCUGACUAUGCUCUUCCUUACUUCGGGAGUAGAUAAGUAUAUCAUCGAUGAAGACGAUGACGAACUGAUCUAAGUAAGGACGGCACACCCUAUUCAUUAGGUCCAUAAAUACUGCUGGUGCGUUGGUUAAUCCGAACGGCAUCACUACAAAUUCGUAGUGUCCAUAACGAGUUCGGAAGGCUGUCUUGGGAAUAUCCCCCUCUAGUACUCGUAAUUGGUGAUAUCCGGAUCGUAGAUCUAUCUUCGAGAAGUAGUUUGCUCCUUGAAGUUGAUCAAAUAGGUCAUCAAUGUGGGGUAGAGGAUAACGAUUUUUGACAGUAAGCUUGUUCAGUUCUCUGUAGUCGAUGCACAUGCGGAACGAUCCGUCUUUCUUCUUUACAAACAGGACCGGUGCUCCCCAAGGUGAGAAACUUGGUCUAAUGAAUCCUUUUUGAAGGAGUUCGUUAAGCUGACUGGAAAGUUCUUGCAUCUCUGCUGGUGCUAGGCGAUAAGGCGAUUUCGCUACUGGGGUAGCCCCUGGAACUAAGUCGAUUCUAAACUCGACUUGGCGUUGUGGUGGUAAUCCCGGUAGUUCUUCUGGAAAGAUAUCGGGAAAGUCGCGUACUUCUGGAAUGUUCUUGAUGUCCUUCGGUUCCUGACUUGUAUCGACGAUGUGCGCUAGGAAUGCUCAACAAUCCUUCCGUAAACACUUUCGAGAUUGGAUGCAUGAAAUGAUACGAAGGUUUGUACUUGAUUUGUCGCCAUAGAUAAUUAAUGUUUCGUUGUUAGGGAGAUUAAGACGAACUGCUUUCUCAAAGCACAUGAUGUCGGCGCGAAGAAGACUCAACCAAUCCAUGCCGACUAUGACGUUGAAAUUUUUAAUUUGGACCGGCAUGAGAUUGAUUGGGAAAGAACGACCAUCUAAAGUUAACGUACAGUCCAUGUAUAUGCAGUUAGUGUUUUCCGUUUUUCCAUUGGCCAUCUCUACAGUGAAUGAUUUUUCUAACUUGCUAGGUUUAUGUUUAAGUAAGUGAAUAAAGUUUUGACUCACGAAGCUUCUCUCCGCUCCACUAUCGAAUAAUAUGCAUGCAUAUGAAUUAUCGAGAAGGAACGUACCAGCAACUAUAGUCGGAUCAGCUACGGCUUCAUCGUGGCCUAUAGCCAAAACUCGUCCCACCCUGUNGGCAGUUCCUCUUGUAGUGGCCCACCUCGCCACAACCGUAGCAAGUCUGGCCUACACCCGCGUUGGGAACUUGAGUGAUCGGCUUUGCGGGAUCCUUGCUGAAACGGACAGUGUGUCCCUUUCUGUUGCAGUUGGAGCACUACAUUUCCCAACAAGGUCCAUGAUGGUGGUAAGUGCAUUUGGUGCACUUUGGAAGAUUACCCCCAUAAGUCUUUGUCGGGUAAGAUUUGUAGGGACUGUAGUAGGUACCGUGGCAGCAUUCACUGAGGCCAGUUGUUUCUUCGCAGAUUCUUGGGAAGACCCACCCUUUCCUUUAUUCCAUACCCUCUUCUUGUUAUUGUUGUUGUUGUUGUUGUUGUUGUUGUUGUUGUUGUUGUUGUUGUUGUUUCCUUUUUGUGGUUCUAGUGUAGCAACCGUUGAGUUCUGAUGACCUCCAUAAUCAACAAGAGAUUGUGCCAGUUCCUUGGCACUUUCAAAGGUGUCAGGUUUUGAAGCUAACACGUUGGACCUAAUUUGGGGCGACAGUCCCCAAAUGUAUCUCUCUAUUUUCUUGCUUUCAGGAGCAGUCAUGUCUGGGCAAAGGAUUGCCAGAUCGCAGAACCUGUUGGUAUAAGUCGCGAUGUCGUUACCAACCAUUCCAAGAGUCCAGAGCUCAUGCUCGAGUUUUUGAAUCUCUCCUCGUGGACAGUAUUCUCUCAUCAACAUGACCUUUAAGCUCUCCCAGCUUAUGGAGUUUGCCACUAUCAGGGUAAGUAACUUAAUGUGGCCAUUCCACCAAGUUAAAGCCCUAUCAAUAAGGGUGAAAGUUUCAAACUUGACUUUGCUGUGCUCGGGACAGAAGCAGAUUUCAAAUACUGACUCCGUCCUUUCAACCCACUGCCUCAGGGCUAUCACCCCACCAGUUCCAUAAAACAUCCGGGGUUUGGCAUUAGUAAAAUCCUUAUAGGUGCAUUCUAGGGGUUGCCCAUGACUCUCACCAUGGUUGGAUAGUUGUGUGCCAGUUCCUGAGCCAGUAGUACUCGGAGUUAUUGAUUUGUGACAUGGUAGCUGCUUGGAACAUGACAAUAUCAAAUUGAGGUGGUGGAGGUGUGGUGGUACAGGUGCUUCCCGACCGUUGUUUCGCCUUGGAUUCCUAAAAAUUGUAUGUAAGUUUAAAAUAACCAAUGUGUUUGAAAACCUUGUAAAUCAAUGCAUUUUUAAUACCCCAUGUGAGUUUUAUAACCAUACUAUUGACUCGGAAUGCCUAUACACAACGUUCUUCAGGCGUUGGAAUGUUAUGACGUUUGUCACCCCAAAUGGUGGACUGUAGCUAACAGUCAAGGCGCGGGUUGUCAAGCGCGUAUAGAUCUAUACACAAACACCAUGCUCCCCCUCCAAGGGAUUCUGGUAUAUAAUACAGGACUUGAAAUGUGUACUCGAACGUACGUGAAGUUAAUGUCUCACAAACCGUGGUAUAAAAACAGAUUUACAUGUUAAAAAUGUUCGUUUGUUCUUGUAUAUGAAAGUGAUUUCUUAAAAAUCGUGUUUCUAGUAUGUAAAAGUUAGCAAUAUCCUCGUAAAACUAUACCUAUUAUAGUUUUCUAAAAGUGUGUCUCGUUUGUUUAGAAAUACCUAGAAAAGGAAUCACUUGUUAUGAAAGUAUAGAUUUUUGUAGAGCCUAAGAUAGACAAGUAUACAUAUAAUCUAAGAAAAUGUUUAGUUUAUACAUGCAUUACAACAAUUUAUAUUUCAAAAGAUAGAAUGCUAUUGUAACAUAUUUUAUAUACGAAAGUUCCCUAUAAAGUUUAUAAAUCACAUAUGAUUUGGUUAUNNNNNNNNNNNNNNNNNNNNNNNNNNNNNNNNNNNNNNNNNNNNNNNNNNNNNNNNNNNNNNNNNNNNNNNNNNNNNNNNNNNNNNNNNNNNNNNNNNNNNNNNNNNNNNNNNNNNNNNNNNNNNNNNNNNNNNNNNNNNNNNNNNNNNNNNNNNNNNNNNNNNNNNNNNNNNNNNNNNNNNNNNNNNNNNNNNNNNNNNNNNNNNNNNNNNNNNNNNNNNNNNNNNNNNNNNNNNNNNNNNNNNNNNNNNNNNNNNNNNNNNNNNNNNNNNNNNNNNNNNNNNNNNNNNNNNNNNNNNNNNNNNNNNNNNNNNNNNNNNNNNNNNNNNNNNNNNNNNNNNNNNNNNNNNNNNNNNNNNNNNNNNNNNNNNNNNNNNNNNNNNNNNNNNNNNNNNNNNNNNNNNNNNNNNNNNNNNNNNNNNNNNNNNNNNNNNNNNNNNNNNNNNNNNNNNNNNNNNNNNNNNNNNNNNNNNNNNNNNNNNNNNNNNNNNNNNNNNNNNNNNNNNNNNNNNNNNNNNNNNNNNNNNNNNNNNNNNNNNNNNNNNNNNNNNNNNNNNNNNNNNNNNNNNNNNNNNNNNNNNNNNNNNNNNNNNNNNNNNNNNNNNNNNNNNNNNNNNNNNNNNNNNNNNNNNNNNNNNNNNNNNNNNNNNNNNNNNNNNNNNNNNNNNNNNNNNNNNNNNNNNNNNNNNNNNNNNNNNNNNNNNNNNNNNNNNNNNNNNNNNNNNNNNNNNNNNNNNNNNNNNNNNNNNNNNNNNNNNNNNNNNNNNNNNNNNNNNNNNNNNNNNNNNNNNNNNNNNNNNNNNNNNNNNNNNNNNNNNNNNNNNNNNNNNNNNNNNNNNNNNNNNNNNNNNNNNNNNNNNNNNNNNNNNNNNNNNNNNNNNNNNNNNNNNNNNNNNNNNNNNNNNNNNNNNNNNNNNNNNNNNNNNNNNNNNNNNNNNNNNNNNNNNNNNNNNNNNNNNNNNNNNNNNNNNNNNNNNNNNNNNNNNNNNNNNNNNNNNNNNNNNNNNNNNNNNNNNNNNNNNNNNNNNNNNNNNNNNNNNNNNNNNNNNNNNNNNNNNNNNNNNNNNNNNNNNNNNNNNNNNNNNNNNNNNNNNNNNNNNNNNNNNNNNNNNNNNNNNNNNNNNNNNNNNNNNNNNNNNNNNNNNNNNNNNNNNNNNNNNNNNNNNNNNNNNNNNNNNNNNNNNNNNNNNNNNNNNNNNNNNNNNNNNNNNNNNNNNNNNNNNNNNNNNNNGACAUGCUUUUAGGAGUUUACGGCCAUGGAGCACCUUCUAUGGCCGUAAACUCUCAAAUGAAGAGUUUUGAUGUGUUUAAGGUCCUUAAACUAUUUUUGGUUGGUUCUAUGAUUUAUUCCAAGGCUUUUGGUGGUGUUGGAUGGCUUUCUAACACCUUAGAAGUGAGUUUACACCCUUGUUUAAGGAGUUUACGGCCCAAGCACAAGCCUUGACCGUAAACUCACACAAACCCUUCAAAAUUUAUGUUUAAGGUGUUCUAGGUCCAUUUCCAAUAUUCUAAAAGUCAUAUCUAAGUCUUUUUUGUGUCUUGGAAGGGUUAAAUGGCUUAAAACCCCUUUAAAUAUGUGUUUACGGCCUAGGCACCUUACAGGGCCGUAAACUCAUAUACAAGGCUUUAAAUCAUGGUCCAAGGCAUUCUAAGCUCAUUCCAUAAAGUCAUCUAGCCAUAUUCAAGGUCUAAUUGUGGUUUGGAAGGGUUUUGUUGUUCCAAAAACCCCCCUUUAUAUGAGUUUACGGCCUAGGACUGUUCUAGGGCCAUAAACUCAUGGUAAUGGUGCUAAUCCAUGGUUUAAACUCGAAUUUGAAGGCUAGAGAGGUUGCAUAACCAAUUAGGGAAGGUACCUUGAAGAUUUGAGACCUUAAACUUGAGAUUUGGACCUUUAAUUCUAGUUUGAGGAGAGAGGUUGGAGUGAAAGUUGUAGAAUGGAGCAAAAGCUUCAAAAUGAAGACUUGGAUCACUUUAAAUAGUGUCCAAGUUCGGAACACGGUAGAAUUCUACCCGAUACCGGCGUUAGACGGGGCUUUUGGUCGCACCCGGCCAAUUUGCCGUAACUCGAUAUGGUUGAUUCUAGAAAUGUUUCGAUCAUUAAUAUGAGACGUUAGAAUGAGUUCUAAGGGUAUUAAGUCACUUAUUAAGUCAUAAAAUAAAACCCAUAUUAACGACUUAAUAAAAUGCCGGAAUCAGAAACGAAAUCGGAAAUGGCGAUUGGAUGAUCGGAACGAGUCGCGAGAAGGGUUACAUUUAGAGAUAUGAAUUUCGGGUUGUUACAUAGUGGCACCAGGGAUGGUGUGCAUGAACGUGGUGCACCCUCUACCUGGCCACGAGUUAAGUCUUGUGGCUUGUAUAUUGUUAUGCCUAUCAAGGCAAUCACGUAAAUAUUUCCACAAUCAUCUCCAUUAUAAUAUUUACCAUAUUUAGUUAGUCAAAGUUUACCAUGUAUUGUUAUUGUAGGUGUAAUUGACAACUACCUUUACUCUUGUAAAGGCUUUAUAUUGGCCACUUAUUUUCCUUGUAAUGUGUGAAAAUUCAAUAUUAAAAUCAAUACCUCAAAAUGGUAUCAAGAGCUCUCUUUCUCCUCUGAGAAAUCUCGAUCCCCAUUGCCUUCCUUCUUCUCAAACCUGCAGAAUCAUCACAAUCUUGUCAGAUAAAUCAACUCCUUCUACCACCAUCAUUCAUCUCACGGCCACUACCCACUUCCCUAUCAAACUUAUUGCAUCUAAUUUUCUUGUUUGGCGAAACCAAGUUCGUUCCACCCUCAUUGGCCUUGAUCUCCUCCACUUCAUCGAUGGUUAUUCAAAACCUCCCAGUAAAACCAAUGCUGAGUAAUCUCACUGGUACAGACAAGAUCAGAUCUUGUUCAGUGCCUUACUUGGUAGUUGCACAGAUGUUAUACAACCCUUGCUAUCUUCUGCUGAAACAUCAUAUGAAGCUUGGUUCCGUCUCACCACAAGCUAUGCCAACGCUUCUCGUUCCUGAAUCAUCUCGCUCAAAUCUAAACUUACCACCAAUCCAAAAGGAUCACGCACUGUUACUAAAUAUCUUCACGACAUGCGAUCCAUUGCCGACGAUCUUGCCUUAGCCCACUUAUAGGUGUAAUUGACAGCUACCUUUACUCCUGUAAAUACUCCUGUAAAGGCUUUAUAUUGGCCACUUAUUUUCCCUGUAAUGUGUGAAAAUUCAAUAUUAAAAUCAAUACCUCAAUAAUGCCUUACCAAGUACACAAGUUAAUGACAACCAAUUCAGGUUUUUUAAAAAUUAAGUUGUGUGUGAUCCUCAAAUAACUCAAUAUAAAAAUACAAUAAUACUUUCCUAACCAUCUGUUUCUCAUUCAAAAUACUUUAAUUAAAAACACUUUGCUCCCUUCCCCUUCCCAUCCCUACCAAUCUCCAUCGUCGGUGAUAAACUCCAAUAAAUAUACAUUUACUUUUGAUCCCUGAUCCUAUAAUAAUGAGCAUGGCCAAAAGCAAAAUUGGACAACUUCAAAGACAUACAAACUCUACUUAGUUCACUUCUUUCGAACAUGGUCAAAACCAACAAAAAAUAUAGAAAAAUAUGUAAUCCUUUUAAACAACGUUCAAGUUAGAGCAUAUACCUGAAAGUCUUCGUCUUGAUGAUGUGUUGUUGGGACGUCCAACAAAUAACAUAACAGUGGACGUCGACGCCUCAAAGAGAAACCACAAUCUUGACUCCGUGACAUAUAGCUUAAAUAUUCUUGAUACUUGACGUCCUUAAAAAAAGUUGUGUACCUAAAUUCGUGAAUUUGCAACGAUAGGUGUGGAGGCGGCUGGAAUCGGAGAUAACAGGGUAGCGGUUGCUAGAAUCGACGAUGUUAGGAUUGGGGGUGACCGGACUGGAUGUUAGGGUGGGGGGUGUCAAAUGAAAUUAAGUUAAAAAUAUAGAGAUUGUGGGUGGGGGCGGAAAAUAGGAGAUAAUGGAAAAUCAAUGAAAACAAUUAAGAAAAAUUGAAAAUCCGCGUUUAAUGAGAGAUGUUUUUUUUGUUGUGGAAUCCAUUGCUAAUCCCUCUCCAAUCCAUUUUUAAAUGGCUAGAAUUUACCAAAUAGAAAUCCUGGUUUUUUAUGUUGUUGACCUCUUGGAAGUUUGUCGUUUAUUAGUAGUAAGGAAAGGAGUGAGCAUCAAUGCAUGGAAGGGAGGCCGACAAUUUGUAAAGAGAUGGGUGCAGCGUAUUCACAAGAGAGAAAAUAGACGAGACUGUGUGAUUUGCAAUAUUUUUUACAAAAUGACCGGAUCAAAUGGCGUCUUCUUUUUUUUUUUGCAAUUGUGUUGGCCGGAAAAUAUAACCAAGAAAUUGAUGUUUGUCAAAGUUGACUAUUAGGGAAGUUUCUUGAACAGCAUAUGUUAGUUUAAUCUGUGUUUUUUAAACAACAAAAAUAAAUGUAAUGAUGUUUCUUUAACAUGUAAACGGGCUAGAACUAUUAUCAAACUGUUUCUUGAAUAACAACUCAGUUUCAUUAUAAGUCAUCUAAAAAAAACGGGCAUAGUAGUCCUUAUCCAUACACUAAUCUAUCUGUUGAAAUAUAAUGCAUACCACAAAAACGAACCGCUUAGCUCCAAGAAAUAAUAAUAAAGAAUUGUUGGCGUGCUGAGAUUUUAGCUUUUUAUAUAAACCAAAAAUUGAGAGAAGGGUUAUUGCGAUAGAAGGUGUUUGGAUAAAUAAAAAAGAAAAACAUUGUGUUAGGGAUAUGUGUAUCAUAUAUGAGGAGGGAAUUAGAUUGCAUUGCGUUGAGAAGAAGCUGCUUCCAUGGCACUUCUAUUGUGCCCAUUUCUAAUCAGUUUCCUCAGAGGCGUCUGAUUUUACAUUGGAUCUCUGAGUCUCAGUUCCUAAACGUCAUUUUUAAAUAAUUGAAGGUGCAGGAGUCGAUUGGAGAAGGUUUCCAAAAACGCCAGAGAUGGAGUCGACCUGUUAGGACUACAAAAAUGGGAGACGAGAGAGACGAUAAAUAAAUGAUUGUUUCAAUUGGGUAUUCUGCGAGGCGCAAAUGCGCUCUCUUCUCGCUGAAGCGUGUUCUCAAUUAGGACUAAUUGACUAUGAGGAAUUGGGUUGCAUGAAAAUUUAAGUUGCAAUUGAAUAUUAUAAAAAAAAAUUGGGCGCCUUAAAAAAUUGGGCCCUGUGCACCGGCCCUUCUUGCCCCCCUUCACCAUCGGCCUUGCCAGCCUGCAACAAACAGACAGAUCCUACAGAUCACUAAGCAUAACAACAUCCUAAAUACUAGGAUACCAAUCUAACAGAUCACCACAACACUAUAGCAUACAUGUCAGGAUAUCAAAUCCAAAGGGUCGGCCUUGGUGCCUUAUACCCAUUAGUACAUCGAGGGAAAACUCACCUCACAAUGUCAAACCCCACUGAAAACCUCCGCCUGCUGGCUCACAAAAAUCCCGAACUAACACAAAGAAAAAACAAACAUUCAAUUAACAAUUGGAUUACCAUCCUUGACUAAGGAUCCAUACUUAAUGUAAAUGUCCACUAUGCCCUAUCCCCAAUUGGGCCAAAGCCCAAUUCCUAAUUUUUGAUCCAAAAAGGCCGAAAUUACUUCAGACCCAUAAUCGGCCCAAUUUUCCAAAGUCGAUACGUUCGACGGGACGUCAAACCCUAUAAUGGGGGGUGAAGGUAGGUUGCACCUGAUGCCACAUUGGUUGGGAAGGAGAAAUAAGCAUUCCUUAACAAUGAUGUGGAUACCUUCCCUAACACAACGCGUUUUAAAGAUGUGAGGGCAUCAGAUCUCAUAAUAACUUUGCAGGUAAGCGUGCUCAAGCGAGAGCAAUCAAGGGAUGGGUGACCCUAUGGGAAGUUUUUGCGCUAGGAGCCCAAAACGAACAAUAUUGUGAUACGUGUCAGAGAGGGAUGUUACAUAAAGGCUAUUAGCUAAUUGACUUUAAGACUUGAACCACUCUUCAACUUCAUUAAACACGUUCACCCAAUUCAACCAAUUCUAGUACAACUGAAUUGAUUAUCAUCCCAAGUUACACUUUUGGCCCUUAAACUUUGAGCGACUUGUCUUUCAUGGCUCUACAAAACCCAACUUUAGCAAGCAAAAUCAUACUUCAUUCCCUUAAAAUAAAAAAAUAAAAAUAAAAUAAAAUAAAAUAAAAUAAAAACCUUAAGUGACCUUUUAAAACAAAUGCAAUAAAGUUUUUGGGCUAAUAUGACAUUUUCUCAUUUUUUUAACUAACUAAAUAAUAAUUAAGUUUAAUAAUUUAAUAUAUAAACUUAAAAUUAAAAUGAAAAUAAUAUGAGAAUUACUUAAAUAAAAUUAAAGCUUACAAAAAAGACAUUAUUCAAACAUAAAAUUACUAUUCGUCCUCAACGACUUUGUUUUGGUAUAAAUUGUAACGCCCGUGUUUCUAGGCUAGGCAUUAAUAUUGACAUAAUAGUCUAGGUUAACCUUUGUAACUCAUUUAGAAGAAAUGAAAAUGAAUUAUGUGAAUAUUAUGUGUUUUAUGCUUAAUUAUUAGGGUUUAAUUAAUUAAGAAUAAAAAUGUGCGUCAAAAAUAAAUAUUAGAUAAAGCCGAUAUCUAUUAAGAAAGUUGUAGUGGUCGUGACAAGGAUUACGGAUAUAUAAUGAAUGCCGAAAUCCGAGUUAUAGCGAAGAAGUUAUGACCAGUCGAAGUUUCGCGACAAAACCGCCACGGUGCCGAAUGUCGUAAAAAGUGAGUUUUUGAUAAACUACUUUUUAGCCUUAGUGAUCUAAACAAAAGUUGCAGUGUUCGUUAAACCGAGAGUAGGUAUAAAAAGAACGCCCAAAUCUGACUUCGUAUGAGAAAGUUAUGAUUUUUCGAAAUUUCAGCUUAGUUGUAGACAGCUAAAAACUCGAAUUUUAGAUCAAGUGAUUUUUAGCCGACACGACCUAAACGAGAAUCGAAGGUCUUGUCAAUAGUAGCACAACGGUAAAAAGACAGACGAAAACGGACGUCGGAUGAAGAAGUUAUGAAUUUUUAACGGAUUUCCUGUCCCGGUCUGUUGAAAAUAAUAAUAUAAAAAUUAAAGUCAAAAUUAGCCGACGAGGUCUAAACGAAAGUUGUAGAGCGUAAUUUUACCUACGCGUGCAUAUAAAGAACGUUAAAAACAUAGCUCAUAUGCGAAAGUUGUGGAUGUUAUAAGUUUUGGCGCGAAAAUCGAGAAAUGUUGUCAAAACCGAGAAAUUUCGCAUACGUGGACUUCGGCCACGUCACCCUCGCUUAAAUCAUGGCACAUGUCCGAAAUUUUGCUGAGUCAUCCGAACCGGAGAGCCAUCUGAAGUUGUCCACUAAAGAUCUGACGCGUGUCCCUUAUGGCGUGUCCGAGUCUCGCAGGGGGUGCCACGUCCGAAGCCUUAGACUAGAUCUCGGUCCAAUCAAACGCCGAUACCGAGCCCCUCGCAUGCGCAGCCCACGUGCGAGCCACCUGCGCACCUUAGCCCUGCUGUUGUCGCGUGUCCCCGCUGCUGACUCCUCUCUUCUAAGCCGACUUCGGACCAUCUUUCACCCCUUUUUCAAUACUUCCUUCAUAUUAACAUCCCCCAAAGCCCCGAUAUCGAUUAUAACACCCGGAAUACACCACGAAGUGCCCGAGAAGUCCGGAAAAUUUAUCUUUUCGGUUUCGAAGCCCGACCUUCGCAGAGCCCGGUUUCUCAAUAAAACUCCCGGUUUUAUUAAAAACGAUCGCUUUAGGCAACGAAGUGCUGCCCGAUGAUCGUUAAAUCAAGUGAGUGUGUAGUUACUUUCACUUUACACAUAGAUAUGAAGUAUUUUAUAUAAAUAUAUGCUGUGUGAAUAUAUAUUGUUUGUUUAUUUGAGAUGAAUAUUGAAGGAAUGAUUUAUACAUGUUUUUAAAUAAUUUAAAUUGUAUAUGUAUUUUAUCUACCAAAAUGUUGGGUAAAACAUGGGUAGAUGUAAUAGUGGGUGUGUGAUGGAAGGUGGGUUGGACACUGUUGAUAAAUAAGAGCUAUGAACUCCCAUGGGAAAUACUGUCGAUUACCUACUNNNNNNNNNNNNNNNNNNNNNNNNNNNNNNNNNNNNNNNNNNNNNNNNNNNNNGAAAUAUUGUCGAUAAAUAAGAGCUAUGGAUUUAACACAUGGAAAACCCAUUGACAUGUAUUGCGAGGGGGGGGAUUCCCGUGGGAAAUACUGUCGAUAAAAUAAGUGCUAUGGACUUAAAUUGUAGAGGAAAGCAAUUUUGUCACCCCGAUGUUUGUCAUAUUUAACAUAAAUUGUAGAGGAAAGCAAUUUUGUCACCUUAUUGGUUGUAUUAUGUUAGGAUGUCUUGUUUGACAUAAAUUGUUGAGGAAAGCAAUGUUGUCACCCCUAGUGAUAAUCCUUAGGCUAGGUCCCUUGUGAUAGUCGUUUUAGGGACGUAAAGUGAGGAUAAUGGGAAUGGGUAAUUAGGGUUAUUUUGGUUGAUGAAAUUAAUAGCUUUAUUGUUGAUUGAGAACUUAAUAAGUUUAUCAUUUAUUGUGGGUUGAAAAUCCUAUAUGCUCACCAGGCUCCCAAGCCUGACCCACUCAGCUUUUUAUAUUACAGGCAGUGGACCCCGAGCAUAGUCGGAUGAUGAUGAGUGAUAUUUGGAUUAUAGGCGAGUAGUUGUAAAUAACUGUUGUAAGGCUUAUAAUGUCUUAUUUAUGCUUUUGAUCUGUAUUGGAACAUGACAUCCCGAGGUUUGAUAUGAAAUGAAAAUAUACAUUUCUUGAAGAAAGGUUUUGAUAAACUUUUAUAAUGUUUUGUUUUGAGAAUAAAUUCCGCAACAUCUUUUUAAAGGAUUACUCUGAUUUUAUUUUAAAAAGCAUAAAAUAAAUCGGUCUUUUUUGGCUGAGAAAUUUGAGGAUGUCACAUAAAUGUUCCAAUAAGUCUUGUCCAAAAAAAUGGCAUGUUUCAAUAGAUUGUAUUUUGAGAACUCCUGCCAUGUAUUCAUCAUCUGUACAUGGAAAUGCACAUGGAAAUGAAUUGUUGAGGACGAUUAACCGCAUCAACCUUAAAUCAUACAUGCAAAUAGCACGUCCUACGAACGUGGUGCACCCUCUACCUCGCCACGGGUUAAGUCUUGUGGCUUAUAUACCGUUAUGCCUUACCAAGUACAAGUUAAUGACAACGGUUGAGGUUUUUUAAAAAUUAAGUUGUGUGUUAUGAUCCUCAAAUAACUCAAUAUAAAAAUACAAUAAUACAUUCCUAACCACCUGUUUCUCUUUCAAAUUACUUUAAUUAAAAACACUUUGCCCCCUUCCCUUCCCCUUCCCCUUCCCAUCCCUACCAAUAUCCACCACCGGUGAUAGACUCCAAUCAACACACAUUUACUUUGGAUCCCUGGUCCUAUAAUAUUGAGCAUGGUUCAAAACCAAAAUUGGAUAACCUCAAAGACAUACAAACUCUACUUAGUUCACCUCUUUCGAACAUUGUCAAAAUCAACAAAAAAAAUAGAAAAAUAUGUAAUCCUUUUAAACAACGUUCAAGUUAGAGCAUCUGACAGAUAAGUAGAUAACUGAAAGUCUUGAUGAUGGGUUGUUGGGAUGGCCAACAAAUAACAUAAAACUGGAGGUUGACGCCUCAAAGAGAAACCACAAUCUUGACGUCGUGAAAUAUAGCUUAAAUAUUCUUGAUACUUGACGUCGUUGAACAAAAGUUGUGUACCCAAAUACAUGAAUUUGCAACGAUAGGUGUGGACGGCUAGAAUCGUAGAUCACAGGGUAGCGGUGCAUGGCCAGAAUUGACGAUGUUAGGAUUGGGGGUGAUUGGACUUGAUGUUAGGGUGGGGGUGUCAAAUGAAAUUUAAGUUAAGAAUAUAUAGAUUCGGGGUGGUGGCGAAAAAUAGGAGAUAAGUGAAAAUCAAUGAAAACAAUAAAAAAAAUUGAUAAUCCGCAUUUAGCGAGGGAUGUUUUUUUGUUUCUGGAUCCAUCACUAAUCCCUCUCCAAUCCAUUUAUAAAUGGCUAGAAUUUACGGAAUAGAAAUCCUGGUUUGGAAGUUCAUCAUUGAUUAGCUUGGGAUAACUUACAUUGCUAAUUUUGUCAUUGACACCUCUCUUUCUAUUAGUGGGGAAAGGUGUGAGCAUCAAUGGGAGGGAGGCCGAUAAUUUGUAAAGAGAUGGGUGCGGCGUAUUCACAAAAGAGAAGAAUGAAGAGACCGUGUGAUUUGCAAUAUGUGCAAAUUUUUUACAAAAUGACCGGAUCAAAUGGUGUUUUCUUUUUUCUUUGGAAUUGUGUUGGCAAGAGAAUAUAACCACGAAAUUGAUGUUUGUCUAAGUUGACUAUUAGGGCAGUUUCUUGAACAACAUAUGUUAGUUUAACCGUGUUUUUCAAACAACAAAAAUGAAUGUAAUGAUGUUUUUUGAACUUGUAAACCGCUGGGUAGCUACCUGAUCAAAAAUUUUCUUGAACAACAACUCAGUUUCAUUGUAAGUCAUCUUAAAAUAUAUAUAUAUAUAUAUAUANAUUCUCAUGGCAAGGUUCAAAAUGUUAAAUACCUUGAAAUCGAGAUGUUGUAUAUAUAUAUAUAUAUAUAUAGAAACAAAAAACUAAAUACGUAAACGGGCAUAGUAGUCCUUAUCCAUACAAUAAUCUAUCUAUUGUAGUAUAAUACAUACCACAGAAACGAAACGCUUAACUCCAAGAAAUAAUAAUGAUAGAAUUGUUGUGUGCUGAGAUUUCAGCUUUUUAUAUAAACCAUUCCAUAUUAUUGGGCAUCAAAAUCUCUUGGUAAGGGAAAAUGUUUUCUUUCUUACAGAAUUCCCCCCUUUUCUACUAUUCAUGCAUCGUUUUAAUAAUUCUCAUCAGUUUCAAAUGGAUUUCAACUCUUUCCAAAACCAACAAAAAUUUACCACCAUCUCCACCAAGGCUUCCGAUCAUCGGAAACCUCCACCAACUAGGGUUGAGCCCCCACCGCUCACUUGAGGCCCUGUCCAAAAAACAUGGUCCACUCAUGUUGAUGCACCUUGGCAACGUGCCCAUGCUUGUUGCCUCUUCACCUGAUGCAGCCAAAGAGAUCUUGAAAACCCAUGAUUUGAAAUUUGCAAGCCGACCCAAGUUAAGAAUUGCCGACAUACUUUUGUAUGGCUCCAAGGACAUAACAUUUUCUCCUUAUGGAGAGUAUUGGAGGCAACUGAAGAGCAUCGCUGUAGUCCAUCUUCUAAAUAAUACACGAGUCCAGUCAUUUCAACAAGUGAGGGAAAAAGAGGUGGCUCUUAUGAUUGACAAGAUCAAAAACAGUGAUGGUUCUUUAGUUGAUCUUAAUGAGCUGUUUUUUUGGCUUACGAAUAACAUUUUCUGCAUGGCGAGUCUAGGUAGGAAAUAUGGUGGGUCAACGUUUGCAGACAUAAUGGACAGGUUUAUGCAUCUGCUCAGUGGCUUCAAUGUUGGUGAUUAUAUUCCAUGGUUGGCUUGGAUAGACCGAUUGAGUGGUUUAGAGGAGAAAGCACAUAAAGUUGCUAAAGAAUUUGAUGACUUUUUUGAAUGUGUUGUUGAAGAACAUGUAAAUAAGAGAACAGAAGUGGAUGCUCAAGGUAGUGAAGAUCAAGAUCUUGUUGACACCUUAUUGGAUGUACAAAGAGAUAACGCAACUGGCUUUACCUUUCAUAGAGAUGUCAUCAAAGCCCUCAUUUUGGUAAGAGUUUUAUUUUCAUCUUUUAAUUUUGAAUUAAAGAGUUGGCAUAUGUCCCCCGUGAAGUGGGGAUAAGAAUUUUCUAGUUAAAAUUAAGGUGAAGCCGGGAUAUGAAUUUUCUAUUUAGAAUUAAAAGACCGAAGUAAAGGAAAAUAAGGUUUAAAUUAGAACAGCACUAUAGUUAGCUACAAAACCACUCAUGUUGUGAAAAUUUAGAACUACUCAACUAAACUACAAAAUUCAUAGAAACUACCAUGUACUAAACACAAGUUAUAUUUGAAAGUAUAGUAAAUUUCAAAAAAUCGUUAAUGUGGUUUAAUUAGUAUAAUAUGUAGAUUUUGUUUCUAUUUGGAUUUUUCAUUCGAAUAGUCUCAUUGUCAUUAUUUUGUUAUGAUUCGUCUAUACAAGACAACUAGAACUAUCAUAACAAUUAUGAGAGAUGUCUAAGUGAUUCAAAUGAGGUUGCAUGCCUUAUAUAUGUUAGACAUCAUGAUUUAUUUAUUUAUUUAUUUUAUUUUUUAUUUUUUUUUACUGUUUUAUGAUUAGUUUAUUAUAAUAAAUGUCAUUAAAAUAUUUGGGUUACCACCCCACUUCGACGAUUUCAACAGAGGGAAGGGAUUGUUAGGAUUAAUGAUUUUAAUAAACACGCACACGAUAAUGAAGAUGCUAAAGGAACAAUAAGAUUUAAUAAGACACCCAAGAGUACUAGUAAUGGAACACCAUUUAAAAUUUAUGUUUAUUGUAGGAUGUAUUUGUUGCUGGAACAGAUACUACAUUCGUAAGUUUGGUAUGGUCAAUCAGUGAGCUAAUAAGACACCCAAGCAUAAUGGAAAAAGUACAACAAGAAGUAACAGAAAUAGCACAAGGAAGAUCCAUGAUUUUGGAAAAGGAUUUAGAGAAAAUGAAUUAUCUUAAAGCCAUCAUCAAGGAGACCUUACGUUUGCAUACUCCAGUUCCACUACUUGUUCCUCGAGAAUCAACACAAGAUGUGAAAGUAAUGGGUUACGACAUUCCAGCUGGCACACAAGCGAUUGUGAAUGCUUGGGCGAUAGGAAGAGAUCCUACCUUAUGGGAAGACCCAGAGGAAUUUAGGCCUGAAAGGUUCUUCAACUCUUCCACAGAUUACAAAGGGCUUCACUUUGAGUUUCUUCCAUUUGGUGGUGGACGAAGAGGGUGCCCUGGGAUUCAAUUCGCUAUAGUCAUCAUUGAAUU